UAAGUUACCCCCACCAUCUCCUCCAGUUUACAAGUCCUCACCACCACCUUACCACUACUCACCACCUCCGGUGUAUUCACCUCCACCAUCACCAGUUUACAAGUCACCACCACUACCCCCACCGGUAUACAACUCCCCGCCUCCACCAGUGUACAAAUACAAGUCACCACCACCACCUCCUCCAGUUUACAAAUCUCCACCGCCACCAGUUUACAAGUACAAGUCACUCCCACCACCUCCUCCGGUAUACAAGUCUCCUCCGCCACCUGUUUACGAGUACAAGUCUCCUCCACCACCUCCUCCAGUGUACAAGUCCCCACCACCUCCAGUUUACAAGUACAACUCACCACCACCUCCUCCCCCAGUUUACCAAUCUCCACCACCACCAGUUUACAAAUACAAGUCACCACCACCUCCUCCCCCAGUUUACCAGUCUCCACCUCCACCCUAUCAUCACUACUACGGUUCUCCUCCUCCUCACCACUACUAAGCAAGUGCAUCUAAGUUUUGAGGUAAUAAUACCUAUCCAAAACUUUAUCAACACAAACUGUCAUGUAUAUCAUGCUAAGGACGUACACUUGAUCCAUGAAAAUGACUAGUAGAAGAUUUUUUUUAAGAAUCAAAGAAAUACAUUAUUUUUUCGGUCUGUUUUCAAGAAUUUGAUCAGUAUACAGAUUAAAGAGUGUUUUUUUCUUUUUUAACUUGCUUAUCAACUUAGAAAUGCACAUAGCUGAAAGCCAACUGAAUAUUUGCAGGCAAAGGAGAAGGCAAUCGGUGUUUGAGACCUUCAUGAAGAUGCAGAAGAAUAAGAAUAAAAGCCCAAUGCGACGAUGAUUUCAAGUUUCUACGUUACCAUUUCAACAUCUAAAUUGACUUUAGCUCCUGAGUUCCAUGUUCAUGGGGUUUGUACCGUUUUACGUGCCAUGCAGUACAUGCUUGUAAGGCUUUCUGUCCUGUUGGCAAACCGCAGGUCCAUAUAAUAAAUGAAUACUAUUUAUAUUACGACACUUUUCUCUCUUUCUCUUAUAUUUUGUCUUUAAUAUUGUUGAUCAUUUUUUUUUAUCAAAAGUAUCAAAUGCUUAGGUAAUUUGGUCUAAUGCUAAUUGUAUUACUUUUAUUUUUCACCUACUUCCCUUUUCAACUCAAAGGAUGCUAUAGUUUGUGAUCAUUGUUUAAGACCGAAGCAUGAUACUAAUAAAUAUCUCAUUGACAGUCAAGGAAACUAACAUUGUGAAAAGUGUAAAUCUUGAUUUCAUGAAACUAUUUAUUCGUGGAAUUUAGAGAUACAAAACUCAAAUUGUGACGGUGUUGUUGGUAAAUUAUGAAGGACAUUAUCACCAUUAUUUUUCCCUUACUAGUUUCAACUGCAAUGAUCUAAGAGUAAUUCUACUUUACCCUAAGAUUGAUAUCAACGAGACAAUGACAAUUUAGAAUUAUUACACGCCUCUUCUUAAUAGGAAAAAUAAAUAGAGAAGAAAGUCAGGCCAGGUCUAAUUCUUUUUCAAAGGCAAUACAACAUUACGAAAUCAAGCAUUCAUUCAUACAAAUAUUUCAUAGUCACCGGUUUGCUGAGUAGAAAAGUUUAUACAAAAACUUAAUAUUAUAUUGUUUAAGAGUUAACAAUUUAGAGCUUAAUCCUGAUACUAGCAUGCUUAUCUAAUGAAUCGCGAUUGUCAAAUAAAUUUACAGUUCGAGGAAAACCCAUUCUAACAAGUGUGUGUUGAGGUUUGGUUAUGAUACCUUCCUAUUAUUUAAAAACUCUCACAUAAUCUCCUUCCACUUUGGACUAAACUCGAACGUGAAAGGAAAUCCCAAAACCAUAUUGGGCAUGAAUUCACACAUAAUACUUAAUAGACCCAAAAAAGGCAGCGGAGACUGGUGGAGAGAUUUGAGGAAUAGAAGCAGACGGAAAAGCAACAAAUUUUGGCCGAAAAACGGUCACUUUCAUGGUUAAUUUUUCUACUCUCUAAUUGUACUUACCAAAUGCAACAGUGAAAUUGUAAUAUAAGCUGAAGAUGGAGUUUGAUACGUGAAAAGAAUUUUUUUAUAAAUUUUAUUUUGACCCAUAAUGUUAUCUUUAGAUACAUAAAAUAUUUUAAAAUUUUGAUUUUUGCCCAGUUAACUUUUGGUAAACAAAAAAUGCUCAGGUUUAAAAAACCGGAAAUAAAAUAAAACAAGAAAUGAAAGAAAUAAGAGGGUAGCAUAGACAUUUGGAUUUUUCCGUUAAUUUGGAUGAUUUCCACCCACAUUCUAAUUUAAUCCAAAACACAAAGGAAUAAUGUGGAGAUUUUUAAAUAAUGACGGAGUUUCGUGAUCGAAUCCCAAACCACAAGGGGAUUUACUAUAUUUUACUCUUAAAUUUUGGUUUCAUCUCAUACAAGAGUACUAUUUCACUAUCUGCAUGUAGACAAAGACUUUCUAUGGUUGAUGUACUAUAGGAAAAAUCUGCCAUACAAUGUGAUAGUAUUUUUUCAAAAACACAAGAUGGAAAAUUGCCCCCUUAAACGUGGAAAUUCAUGAUCUUUCCUCGAACUAGUCUACUUGUCAAUUCUUGAAAAAAGAAUAUUCACGCCUAAAACAGGGCCUCUUCAUCUGCACUGUCCCGCAGAAUUCUAAAAAGUUAGGUAAACUCUAUAAACAAGUUGAUAGGCACAAUACUACCCAAGAUCAAGUACAAGUAGUUGUACAUUCACUGCUGCAAUAACUAAUCUGAUGACUUACAAACACUUCAUGGUCAAUCUUUGAAUGGUAAUGAGUCUUUUGUUAUGCGUUAGUGUGCACCCUCUAAUGGAUUGAUACUUAUACUCUUUAAAUUAUCAUGAUAAUACCCUUAAUUAGAUUUAACUCUUAAAAAGAAUAUAUAUUAAUACACGAGAGUAUGUAACCUGAAUUGUUACUUAUACAUUAGUGUAUAAUAGAAUGGCAAGCUUUAUGGUGGUCAUUGAACAACUUAUAGGAGAAAUAGUCCUAUAAGCUGUUCAAUGACCAAUCACAACUUGCUAAUUGGAUGAAAAUCUAUUUUCCAGAUUCUAAUGAGAGUUAUGAAUUUACCAGUAAAAUUGCAAAAGCAACUGCAGGACUGAGAAUUCUAACCAUAAGCAAAGUGUGCAUGCUUGACCAGUUUUGGUCACUGCAUGCAACUUUUAAAAACUUUCAGCUAUCACUUCUUCCGUACCAAUAAAAUUUUGCAGCAUGUAAAGAAGAGUUUCUCAAGAAAACAGACACACAAUCUAUACAAAAGUAUGGAGUACAAUCUUUCUCAAGUCCGAAAUUUGCAACCAAAAUAUUACAAAAAAAAGUAAACUUUAACAUCAUAAAUAUUCUUACCACCUCCAGUGCAUUCGCCCUCACCACCACCAGUUUACAAGUCACCCCCACCACCUUACCACUAUUCCUCACUGCCACCUCCAGUGCAUUCACCUCCACCACCACCUGUUUAUAAGUCACCUCCACCACCUUAUCAUUAUUUGUCACCACCACCUGCAGCGCUUUCACCUCCACCAUCACUAGUUUACAAAUCACCACCACCAUCUUCCCAGUGUACAAGUCCCCUCCACCACCUGUUUACAAGUCUUCGCUGCUAUCUCCCCCAGUAUAUAAGUCAUCCCUACCACCGCCUCCACUGUACAAGUCUCUGCCGCCACCAAUCUACAAGUACAAUUCACCACCACUCCCGCCUCCAAUUUACAAGUCCCUACCACCACCUAUUUACAAAUACAAGUCUCCCCCACCAACUCCUCCGAUAUACAAGUCAUCUCCACCGCCUCCUCCAAUUUAUGAGUCUCCUUGUCCACCAGUUUACGAGCACAAGUCUCAUCCACCGCUUCCUCCAGUAUAUAAGUCACCACCACUAUCUCCUCCAAUGUACAACUCUCCACCACCGCCUAUUUACAAAUUUCCACCUCCUCCAGUUUGCAAUUCCCCACCGCCUUCUCCAGUUUACAGUUCCCCACCUUCAUCCAACCAUUAUACAAGUCUCCACCUUCAUCCAACCAUUACUACUAUAAUACUCCUCCUUCUCCUUCACAUUACUAAGGAAUUGCAUCCAAGUUUUGAGGUAAUAACGCGUAACCAGUAUAAACUUUUGUAUGAUAAACCUUAUCCCUAUCAACACAAACUGCCAUGUGUAUCAUGCUAAGUACAUACGCUUAGAUCCAUGAAAAUGACUAGUAGAAGGUUAUCCUAAGAACCAAGGAACAUUAGUUUUCCCUCUGUUUCCAAAAACUUGUGUUUGUUUAACAUGCUUAUCAACUUGGAAACGCGCAUUGCUGUUAGCCAACUAAAAUUUUGCAGGCAAAUUGGGAAGAGAAUCAGUGUUUGAGCGGUUCAUGGAAGAUUAAGAAUAAAAGCCCAAUGCGAGGAUGUUCUCAAGUUUUUUAAUGUUUCCGUUCUAUUUUGUAAAUUGAUUUUUGUGAAUUAAUUAAUUCCCUAUUUGUGGGGUUCGUGUUGUUUUACCUACCAUGCCGUACAUGUUUGUAACGAUUUUUAUUGCAAAACGCCGGUUCCAUAAAAUAACUGUAUUCAUUUCGUGUCUUUUGAGUAAACUUCUAAUGGUUCUACUACUUAUUUUACGACAUUUUUUUUCUCUCAUUCUCUUACAUUUUUUGUUUAAUAUUAUUGAUAAUUUUUUUAACAAAAAAGGUUGAUAUACUUAGGUAGUUCAAUAGUUUGGUCUAAUCCUAACUUCAGGUUUGUCUUGUCUUUUAUCUCUACAUACCUUUUCAACUCAAAGGAUGCUACUAUAAUUUGUGAUCAUUGUAGUGGUGAUAUUCCAAGCUAUUACAUAUAAUUUAAGGCAGAGAUAUGAUCCUAGCAAGUAUCUCACUGAGACAUUAGGAAACAUCAUGAAAAGCAUAUUUCCUGAAUUAGUGCAACUAAUUCUUAGUGGCAUUUAUAGUUAAAAAAUUCAAAUUUUUGAGAUUCUAUUACUGAUUAAUUAAGGACGUUAUCACUAUUUUUUUAUUAUCACCAUUAUUUACCCCACAUACUAUAAGAUUUUCUAGGCCACAAAAAAAGACGUGGACCGAUGUUUAGUUAUGUACAAAAGUUCCAAGUUGCGGUUGACCGCCUUGCCAACAUUGGUGCGGACUCAGGAACAUGUCAGGAAUUAGCUUUGAUACGAUGUCGUUUAUGAAAAAUUGUAUGAUUAAGGGCAAGAAAUCAACGCAUAAGUAAGAUGGCAUCGUAAGGUUAAGAAUCAGACGAAUUACAGCUUAAAUAGGACGGCGUCGUUUAGCUAACAGAAUAAGAAAUUAGUUAGUCAGUUAUCCUUGCCUAUUUGUACUGAUGUAAUUGGUGGAGUUGGUUAUGACUUGGAAUAACAGAAUUUGUUUCUCUCUCUCUUUCCCCAAAUUUUCCCUCUCAAUCUUCUCUCUCUCUCGCCUGAUGAUUCUUUCCCAAACUCUGAUUUCCCUUCUCUCUCAUCAAUUCUCUAAGAUUUAGGUCAGGAUCCUGACAAAUUGGUAUCAGAGCUCCGAUCCUUGGACGGAGCUUUUGAACCAGUAGUUGCAGGUUACUACCAUUUUCAACAUUCCUUCAAACGAGGUGACUCCAUGGCCGAAAGCACCAGAUUCAAGACUCUAGAGGAGCAAAUCAAGAAACUGGAACUUAGGCUCCAAGAAGUCAUGGAAUGAUUGCAAGGUUCUCAGUUGCAGCAGCAGCAGAUGAGGAAUGAGCUUCGUACUGAACUUGCAGAGAACAACAAGAAGAUGGAAGGACUGAUAGCUGAGAUGAAGCAAGAAUUUAGUACUUUCAUGAAGGCAAUGAUGAAUAAGGAAAAGGUGGUUCCAGAUGAAGAUAGACCAAGAACAGAACAAAUAUCAUUGCUGCCAACACCACCACUAAGUCAGAGGCUGCAGAUUGGAUUAGAAAACAACAGGACAACAAGAAGAGAAGCAGGUAAAAUUCUGAUACUGAAUCCUCCAAAAAUUGAUCUGCUUUUAUUUGCGGGGGAUAAUCCAAGGGAAUGGAUACGGAAGUGUAAUAAAUACUGCUUGAAUUACCAAAUUUCGGAAGAUCAUAAAGUAGAAGUCAUAGAAAUGUACCUGGAAGUAAGGAUGUAAUCAAGCCGAGCUGCUCGCGAGCUCGGUCAAAAGCUUGACUCAAUCUCGGGUUGACAGAGUUCGAGUCGAGUUCGAGCUGCUCAAUAAGCUAAACGAGUCGAGUUCGAUCAUCCAAAAGCGAUGCUCGAAGGUUCGUCGAGACUUAUCGAGCCUUUUAAUUUUAAUUAUUUAAUAUAUUAUUAUUAUAAAAUUAUUCUUAUACCCAAAAGAGUUGUUGAAUUUACGAAAUGUUUCAAAUCGUAUAAAAUUUUAAAAGGGCAACAAUGUCUUUUCGCACAAAAAUUAUCAAGAAAAUAAAAUUUAGUAACUCGAACUCGACCGAGCUCGAUAAGGCUCGAUUGACUUGAGCCCAUGCGAGUCGAGCUCAAGUAUUGCAAGCAAGCUUCGAGUUUGAGCUCGAGCUCCAAUAAUACUACUCACUCGAGCUCGAGCACCUUUCUUGUAUGUCGAGUCGAGCUUGAGUAUGGCGAUACUCGAGUUUGACUCGACUCGAUUACAGCCCUACCUAGAAGGAAGGGCUGACAACUGGUUCCAGGGAGUCAAGUUAGAAAGACCAGGAAUAACAUGGACAAUGUUUGAAGAACUACUAUACAAAAGAUUUGAUAAUAGGAGUGGAAAGGAUGUGGUUGAGGAAUUUAACAAACUGCAACAGACAAGAAAGGUGGAAGAAUACCAAGAAAAGUUUGAAGAGCUUAAAACUCUCAUGAUGGUUAAGAAUCCAUACCUAGAUGAGAAGUAUUUUGUAUCUAGUUUCAUCAGUGGACUCAAGGAUGAAAUUAAAACAAUGAUAAGGAUGCUGAGGCCUGCGACAUUUUCAGAAGCAUUUGAAAUGGCCAUAUUACAGGAGAAUGCUUUGAGGUUUCAUACCAGAUCCUCCAAGGAAACUUGGAGAACUGCUCCUGAGAGCAGAUUUGGGAUUUCCAGGAAUUCCUCACAGCAGCAAGUCCACAGUGCAUAAUAUAGAAUGCAUUCCCCCAACAACUUCAGAAACACUCCAUUCAAAGGCAAACCAAUUGUUAGCACAGAACCAGAGCCUAGGAGGAUCUCAGCUCAGGAGCUAUCGUGAGAACCCGAAAAUUUUCUUAAUUUCUAGGCAUUAUUUUAUUUCUUUGCAUACAUUUUCUAUAUUUUCUUUAUUAUAUUAAUUUUCUAGAUAUUUUAUAAGUGAAUAUAGUUUUUAAAAUCAUUUUUCUAGUAUAAGUUAGUUCAUGCGAUAUUAAUAGUGAAUACUGGACAUGGGACUCGCUAAUGCAUUAAGUGCGAUAAAUUCGGCCAAUUAGAUUAAGUUUUGCAUAAAGGGAUUAAGUUAUUAGGUGUUAUGAGAUAAUUAGAGGUAACAUAGAUGGAUUAACCAUGGAGAGCCAAGAAAAUAGGUUUAAACAUAAAAGGUGCCACGUGUCGCGAAACUAGUGGAAAUUGGACUUUGAUCAAUGGUAUCUUACUUUCCUAAACCUCAAUUUUGACCCAAAAUCAUCUCCAUUUUCUUCCUUCUUGGCCGAGCUUCUUGAGAGGAGAGAAGAGAGAAACCUUCAACCUUUGUCUUCCAUUUCUUGCUUACAUCUUAAAAUCCAACCACUAAAAUCUCAAAUUUGUCCAUAAAAGUGACUUGCUAAAGAAGGUUAAAGGCAUUGGUAGAGUGAUUAGUGAAGGGAAAGCCCUAAGCUACCUUAUCUCUUGUGGUUUUAAGGUACUUUGUCAAAAAAUUCCCUCUUUGUUCUUAAUAAUGGUAAAUUAGUGGGUUUUAGUGGCUAAAUAUGCUAUUUUGUGAAAGAUUUCAUGGUUUGAGAUAGAGUUAGAUAAAUUUUAGAUUUUAUUGGUGAUUUUUCUGUCCUUAUAUGAUAAUUAUUGGUUGACCUUAGAAUGAUAGCUUGAUAUGGUGUAAAAUUAAGCUUUUAUAUGUUAGUUGUGGUUGUUUGCGAAAAAUUUCAGUUUGUAGAACAAAAUUUCAGUUUUAGGGUUUCCAAAUUAGGGCUUUACUAUGGUUGGUUGUUGAGCUCUUAAUUGGCUAAGAUUGAAGGGUAUUGUAACCCUAAUGAGGUGUAUUGAAUAGCCUAUGAUUUGUAUGUGUACUUGUGGUUGUUUUGGAUGAAUGUAAAGGGUUGUUGGUAGGAUGGAAAAUGUGAAAUUUAAGGGGGAAAUGCUGUCCAAAGUUUGAGGAUAUUGGGCUUCUUUGAGUUUAGAUUGAGAUUGGGUAGAAUGAAAGGUUUUGGGGUUGUUUAUGCUUUUAACACCAAAUGUUCUUUAUUUUUAUUUCUUAGUUAUAUUGGGUCUUGCACUAGUAGUUCAUUGAAGAGGUAUACAACCCGUGUUCGAGUCUCAAUUGUUGUUUCUUGCUUGUUUAUAGGACGCGCCGGUGAUCCAAAGCAUACAUCGGACGGAAAUUUGUGAACUUGCUUUGCUUGAACUGGUGAGUGUACCAUUGCAUGAUUUAAUGCUUAAAUGGUUGUUUGUACUCGAACCUUUGGACUGAAUAACUGUGAACAUUGUUUAUACUGCAUGAGACGAGAGUGUAUUUUAUCACUCUCGUUCUCUUAUCCGUGUGACUAUUUACUGUAUAACAGUGAAUCUGUACCUGUGCAUGGUUUGAUAUCGUUGGAGGCUUGUAUCCAACGACUUUACAGUGAUAUCUGAGCUCAAACCUCAUUGGUCGUUAAUCGAAUCGAGCCGGCAAGGGUGUGGUCGAUUAAAUAACGAACUAUGGGUUUACUGUUUGUCGAGUGGAGUGUUGUCUUCUCGCCCUUGUGGUAUACUCGAGUAUUACCCUACUGUUACUGUGAGGUGUUCGGGUCCGGUAAGGGUGUGUAUGGUAGACGGAAUUUGGGGUAAAGUGGAGUCUACGGACGUGAUUACUUGCAAAUGUUGACAGAGGGUCAACGGGUUCAAAUCAAGUGGUAAAAAGGAAAAAUUGGCACUUGAGUGCCAUCCGUAUCCUUUUAUUCCACGUUAAAAUAGGGUGCUCCUUGGUAUUUAAAUGAACUCUCUAGGAUUGUUUAAGGUGUACUUCUGUGAUUCCUAAUUACCUGACUUGUUGGUACCUCAUUGGGCGUAAACUCACUCUCGUUAUCUUUGUUUUCCUUACAGGAACAACUUUUAGAACCAUGAUUUUGAGAAGCGAGUUGAGCUACUUAGAUAUACUUUUAUUCUGUUGUAUAGCUCUUCGGUAGUUGGAAAUCCUAAAUGUAUUUCGAUCCAAUGUUCCCUUUUGAUUUGUAAUCAUACCAACGUGUGUCUAUAAAAGUAUUUCUUAUGUUUAUGUGGUAUAUAUUUCCUUGGUAUUGUACAUUCACUAGUGUUGGAUGAAGUACUUGUACUUGUUUGGGUUGCGAACGAGUGCGAAAGUUGCACAAGGAAAGAAAAAAAAAAUUCGGCGGGAACAGUUCUUGGCCGGAUCAAGCCGAAUUUGUAGGGGUUUUUGAUCCGGCCAGGAAUCCGGCCGGAUAUCUGGCCCGAUCUAGCUAGGAUUGUAACGUGACAGUUACUGUUCAUUUUCAGUUUUGUUUUCAUUUUUCGUUAUUCGUGGUCGUCGAAACGUUUGAGCGCUAUAAUAUCAUUCGGAACGGUUUAGCCCGUGUGUGUUUGACUUAGUAGUCCUGACGAGAGUUGGGCAGGCAGUCUGCUAACCCUUAAGGUACGCCCUGGGGAAAGGUGGGAUUGUCACAGUUGGUAUCAGAGUCUAGAUUAGAACUGACUGGAGGAAAUUAGGCAUUUGCUUUUAGUAUUUGUAGGGAUUGUAUUAAGGUGCCGUUAAGUGUGAUUACCUUGUUUAAGAUUUAAACCUUCGCUAUCCUUGUAGGUUAUGGCCGGAACAACUAGAAAGGGCGGAGGUGAGCCGUCCAAGAGGCGAUUUCGAGUUAUAGAUUACGUGGAGAGGCCGGGAGGACCGAUUCGGCAUUGAAGCACUGCGUGUCGGACUCGGCGUUGUCUUCGAUGCCAGAACUACUCCUAUAUCGAUCAUGUGGUCGUGGCCGUCCUUGAUGAGAGGAGAAGGCUUAGGCGAACCACCGCUCGGGACCAAACCGAGAUGGCGAGAUUGAGGGGCAUCACGUGGAUGCAAGCAAACCAAAUUCACGAAUUUUAAGGGGAUGUCGCUUUGGAACAAGAGAGAACCGAUGCUCUUAGAGAGCAAUUGCGCGUGGCUACUGACCGCCUUACAAGGGUGGUCAGGGAAAUUCGAGACCAGUCUGGGGGCAUCAUUAACGAGUGCGAGGCGCUAGUCCAGGAGGUGAUUGGCGCUAACGUACAGGUGGAGGUUCCAGGCGGCGAGAUACCUAGAGAAGGGAACACGCCUAGUUCUAGCCAUGGGGGCGAGUCCGUGGGCUCAGUUGGGAACUAGGUUAGAGUUCUUUCGAGCUAUGUUUUGAUCCCAUGUGAAAGACAGUUAGGGGAAGCUCUUAGUGAGCUACUUUUGUAUUUUGAGCCUAGUUUUGUAUAUUGUACUUUUGGAUGACCCCACUACUUUUAUGGGAUUACUUUUGUGUAUAUUUGACUGACUGCUACUGUAUGACUUGUUUGAUACCCUGUGUGUUAUAUGCAUCGAUGCUUUUAUCUGGUGUUUUAUCUAUUGCUUCAAUACUGUAUUUGUGCCUCGACCCUAGAUCGAUUAAACCAAUAGAAAGUACUCGUAGUAGACGAGGUUGUGGACGUGGAAUUAGGCAACUCUCGACCGAAGGAGGUAAUCGGGAACCCAUGCCUAAACCAAAUCCUUAGCCUAGAAUCGACCCUAAUGCUCAGGUAGUAGCUGCUAUUCAGUGAAUGACUGAUCUGUUGGCCCACGUAGUGAAACACCAAGGCCAACAUUCUAUGCAUCAACCUGAAAACCCUGCCAAUAAUAUAGAGGGUGAGGAUAGAAUUCUCGAAAGAUUUCAAAAGUUCUCCUCACCAAAAUUUCUUAGAGGACCAGAUCCCGAUGCGGCCAAAAGGUGGUUGAAAAAGAUGAUAGACAUAUUUGCGGCUUUACACUAUACGGAGGAGAGACAGGUCACUUUUGCUGUCUUUCAGUUGGAGGGGACCGCCCGUUCUUGGUGGAACGUGAUUCGAACAAUGUGGGAAAGAGAGCAAACACCAAGGACGUGGGUAAAUGUCAUGAGAGAGUUCAAUGCGAAGCACUUUUCACCUUUAGUUCAGGAAAAGAAGGAGGACGAGUUUAUUAGGUUUCACCAGUGAGUUCAAACGGUAGCCGAGUAUGAGAGCCAAUUUAUUAGACUAUCUAAGUUCGCCCCUGAACUUAUCAUAACUGAGCAAAGGAGGGUGCGACGAUUUAUUCAGGGGCUAAAUAUGGAAAUUCAAAAGGAUCUGGCGGUAGCCCAGAUUAAUACAUUUAAUGGGGCGGUGGAGAAAGCACUGCGAGUUGAAAAUGCGAGACUCCAAGUUAGAAACUUUCAGGUGAGGAAACGGGGAUUUCCUGAAAAUAAUUCAGGGCAAGGUGAGAAAGGUAACCCUCCCAAGUUUGAAAGGGGGACCGAAGGAGUGAGACUUCCGGGAGUGUCACAAGGAAUCUCGCCAAGGGGUGGUCCAGUUGGACGAGGCCAACAGAGAAGUGCCUCACAGGAAAGCUCAGCCUCUGUUUCUCGGCGGCCUUGUAGAUAUUGUGGGAAACCAAACCACACGGAGGACAACUGCUGGAGGAAGGAAAGAAAAUGCUUACGCUGUGGGAGUGCGGAGCAUCAAAUUACUAACUGUCCGAUUUUUCCUCGAGAAGCGAGAGUAACUCCGCAAUCAUCAAAGGCCAACUUCGGGCAAUCUAAGGUGGAUGAGACGAGACAAAAGAUGCCAACUCGGGUAUACUCCCUUGAGCAACGUCAAGUCCCUGACUCAUCUGAGAUCGUGGAAGGUACAAUCCCUGUCUUCCACCGUCUAGUAAGGAUUUUGAUAGAGCCCGGUGCUACUCAUUUCUUUGUUAACCCCGAUUUUAUGUGCCGUAUUGAUAUAAAACCUGUUAACUUGCCUUAUGACUUGAAAGUUAGUACUCCUACGGGGACCAACUUUUGAUCACUAGUAUGUUGUAUGUUAAUUAUGAAAUUUGGGUAGGAGAGAGAAAGUUAUUGGGGAAUCUUAUAAAUUUAGCUAUUAAGGGGUACGAUGUUAUAUUGAAUAUGGACUGGUUAGCUAAGUAUGACGCCUAACUUGACUGUAAGAGAAAAGUGGUAGAAUUUCGUAUACUUGGGGAGGCGACUUUAAGGUUAGAUGUAAGGGGUAGUCUAGCCUCAUCUGCAUUGAUUUCGGAUAUUCGGGUUAGCAAACUACUGAGUAGAGGAGCACAAGGGUUCCUAACUUUUCUUAUAAACACUCCCACCGAUAAGUUGAGGGUAAAAGAUGUACCGAUAGUGAAUGAAUAUCCGGAUGUGUUCUCUGACAAAUUAGUGACCUUACCUCCUGAGAGGGAGAUAGAGCUCAAGAUUGACUUGUUGCCAGGGACGUCACCUAUCUCUAAAAUCACAUAUCGAAUGACACCUGUUGAACUUAAGGAGUUGAAAUUGCAGUUGCAAGAUUUAUUAGAACGAAGAUUUAUCCGAGAGAACGGAUCUCCAGAGGGAGCCCUUAUAUUAUUUGUCAAGAAGAAAGACGGGAGCUUGAAACUGUGUAUAGAUUAUCGAGGGUUGAACAAUGUGACCAUUAAGAAUAAAUAUCCACUGCCCCAUAUUGAUGAAUUGUUUGACCAGUUGCAAGGAGCAGUGGUCUUUUCGAAAUUAGACCUCCGACAGAGGUACUAUCAAUUGUUAAUUAGGAAGGAGGAUGUACCAAAAACUGCAUUUAAUUCUAGAUAUGGGCAUUUUGAAUUCGCAGUCAUGCCCUUUGGACUGACCAAUGCCCCUGCUGCCUUCAUGGAUUUAAUGCAUAGGAUUUUUAAACCCUAUUUGGAACGAUUUUGUGGUUGUCUUUAUCGAUGACAUUUUAGCGUACUCAAAAAUUCGAGUGGAGCAUGAGCAGCACUUAAAAAUUGUCUUACAAACCCUAAGAGAGCAUCAGUUGUACGCCAAAUUUAGUAAGUGUGAAUUUUGUCUGGAGAAAAUUUCUUUCUUAGGGCAUGUAAUUUCCCAAGAUGGCAUCACUGUUGAUCCAACAAAAGUAGAGGCAGUGACUGAAUGGAAGAGGCCAAAAAAUUUCACUGAAAUUUGUAGCAUUUUAGGGUUAGCUGGAUACUAUCGUCGGUUUAUUAAAAAUUUUUCGCAACUUGCCGGUCCUUUAAUCGAUUUAACCAGGAAGAAUAGUCGUUUUAUGUGGGAUGCUAUGUGUGAAGUUAGUUUUCAAGAAUUGAAAAAAAGACUAACCAUGGCACCAAUUCUAACUUUGCCUAACAGAAAGGAUAGUUUUACCAUUUAUACUGAUGCCUCGAGGGAAGGAUUGGGGUGCGUGUUGAUGCAAAAUAAGAACGUGAUAUCUUUUGCCUCUAGGAAAUUGAAAUCUCAUGAGCAGAACUACCCAACCCAUGAUUUGGAGUUAGCCGCAGUUGUUUUUGCUCUGAAAAAGUUGAGACACUACCUGUAAGAAGUAACUUUUGAGAUUUAUUCUGACAAUAAGAGCCUUAAGUACCUCUUUUCACAAAAGGAGUUGAAUAUGAGAGAACGACGGUGGAUGAAAUUUUUAGUAGAUUACGACUGCACGAUUAACUACCAUCCGGGGAAGGCGAAUGUAGUAACCGAUACUUUAAGUCAGAAGGCUAAAAUAGCCGGGUUAAUGGUCAAAGAGUGGGAGAUGUUGGGAGCAGUUAGUGAGUGGAACCCUAGUUUGGAUCGUUAAAAAGUGACUUUUGGAAAUAUCCGGGUAACAUCUGCUAUACUAGGUCGAAUUAAAGAGGCCCAGGAGAAGGAUCCGAUGGUACAAAAGCGGAGGAAAAAUAUGGAGAAGGGGGAAUUGCCCGAUUUCAAUUUGAGUCCUGAAGAGAUUUUGAAAUAUCGAAAUCGAGUAGUGGUGUGCCUAAGGAUGAAACUUUAAAAAGGAAAUUUUGGAGGAAACUCAUCGAUCGAAAUAUACGAUCCAUCCGGAAAGUAACAAGAUGUAUCAAAAUCUAUGAAAGUUGUAUUGGUGGAAUGACAUGAAGAGGAAAAUUGCCCAAUAUGCACAAUCCUGUCUCGUCUGCCAGCAAGUUAAGGUUGAACAUCACAAACCCUUUGGUUUGUUACAAUCUCUUGAGAUACAUGAAUAGAAGUGGGAAAAUAUUACGAUGGACUUUGUCUCCGAGUUGCCAAGGACCCAAAAAGGACAUGAUGCCGUUUGGGUGAUCGUAGAUCAGUUAACCAAAUCGGCCCAUUUCUUACGUGUGAAUAUGAAGCAUUCCAUGGAAAAUUUGGCUCAGCUAUACAUGGAUAAAAUUGUGAGGCUACAUGGGGUUCCAGUGAGUAUAGUUUCAGACCAAGAUCCUGGUUUUGUGUCUAGAUUUUGGCAAAAAUUUCAAGAAAUCUUACGAACCAAACUCAACCUUAGUACCACCUAUCACCGCCAGACGGAUGGUUAGUCCGAGCGAACAAUUCAAACCCUCGAAAAUAUGUUAAGAACUUGCAUAUUAGAUUUUGGAGAUAGUGGAGUUUGCCUAUAAUAACAGUUAUCAGUUGUCGAUUCAAAUGGCACCAUACGAGGCCCUCUACGAGCGAAAGUGCCGAUCACCGAUUUAUUGGGAUGAAGUAGGGGAAAAUAAAGUUAUAAAUCCAACGACUAUUCCAUGGAUGGAGAAUGCACAAGAAAAGGCCAAGUUGAUACGUCAAAGACUCCAAACAGCUCAAAACCGACAAACGAACUACGCGGACAACCGAAUGAAAGAUUUGGAGUUCGAAAUUGGAGACCGUGUCUUUCUUAAGAUCACACCGUUACGAAGUGUCACGGCGGAUAAAGGAAAGAAAUUUCAACCAAGAUUCGUAGGACCCUUCAAAAUUUUUCAAUGAGUUGGAAAAGUAGCGUACCGACUCGAGCUAUUAUCAAGUUUGCCCAGUAUUCAUGACAUCUUCCAUGUAUCGAUGCUCAAAAAAUAUUAUCCUAAUCCAACUUACAUUUUACAACCGGAGAAGAUUGAGAUGUAUGAAUCACUCAAGUAUGAGGAGAAACCUGUGCAGUUACUCGACCGAAAGAUUAAGGAGUUGAGAAAUAAAUGAAUUUCAUUGGUGAAGAUUUUGUGGAGAAACCACGGAGUAGAGGAGGCAACCUGGGAGGUGGAAGAGGAGAUGCAAAAGAAAUACCCUGAGCUGUUUACGAAUCAAGGGAAGGAAUUUCGAGGACGAAAUUCUUUAAAGGGGAGAGAGUGUGAGAACCUGAAAAUUUUCUUAAUUUCUAGGCAUUAUUUUAUUUCUUUGCAUACAUUUUUUAUAUUUUAUUUAUUAUAUUAAUUUUCUAGAUAUUUUAUAAGUGAAUAUAGUUUUUAAAAUCAUUUUCUUAGUAUAAAUUAGUUCAUGCGAUAUUAGUAGUGAAUAUUGGACGUGGGACCCGCUAAUGCGUUAAGUGCGAUAAAUUCGAUCAAUUAGGUUAAAUUUUGCAUAAAGGGAUUAAGUUAUUAGGUGUUAUGAGAUAAUUAGCGCUUACCUAAAUGAAUUAAUCAUGGAGAGACAAGAACAUAGGUUUAAACAAAAAAGGUGCCACAUGUCGCGAAACUAGUAGAAGUUGGACUUUGACCAAAGGUAUUUUACUUUCCUAAACCUCAAUUUUGAUCCAAAAUCAUCUCCAUUUUCUUCCUUCUUGGCCGAGCUUCUUGAGAGGAGAGAAGAGAGAAACCUUCAACCUUUGUCUUCCAUUUCUUGCUUAUAUCUUGAAAUUCAACCACUAAAAUCUCAAAUUUGUCCAUAAAAGUGACUUGCUAAAGAAGGUUAAAGGCAUUGGUAGAGUGAUUAGUGAAGGGAAAGCCCUAAGCUACCUUAUCUCUUGUGGUUCUAAGGUACUUUGUCAAGAAAUUCCCUCUUUGUUCUUAAUAAUGGUAAAUUAGUGGGUUUUAAUGGCUAAAUAUGCUAUUUUGUGGAAGAUAUCAUGGUUUGAGAUAGAGUUAGAUAAAUUUUAGAUUUUAUUGGUGAUUUUUCUGUCCUUAUAUGAUAAUUAUUGGUUGGCCAUGGAAUGACAGCUUGAUAUGGUAUAAAAUGAAGUUUUUAUAUGUUAGUUGUGGUUGUUUGCUGAAAAUUUCAGUUUGUAGAGCAAAAUUUCAGUUUUAGGGUUUCCAAAUUAGGGCUUUACUAUGGUUGGUUGUUGAGCUCUUAAUUGGCUAAGAUUGAAGGGUAUUGUAACCCUAAUGAGGUGUAUUGAAUAGCCUAUGAUUUGUAUGUGUACUUGUGGUUGUUUUGGAUGAAUGUAAAUGGUUGUUGGUAGGAUGGAAAAUGUGAAAUUUAAGGGGGAAAUGCUGUCCAAAAUUUGAGGAUAUUGGGUUUCUUUGAGUUUAGAUUGAGAUUGGGUAGAAUGAAAGGUUUUGGGGUUGUUUAUGCUUUUAACACCAAAUGUUCUUUAUUUUUAUUUCUUAGUUAUAUUGGGUCUUGCACUAGUAGUUCAUUAAAGAGGUAUAUAACCCGUGUUCGAGUCUCAAUUGUUGUUUCUUGCUUGUUUAUAGGACGCGCCGAUGAUCCAAAGCAUACAUCGGACGGAAAUUUGUGAAUUUGCUUUGCUUGAACUGGUGAGUGUACCAUUGCAUGAUUUAAUGCUUAAAUGGUUGUUUGUAUUCGAAUGUUUGGACUGAAUAACUGUGAACACUGUUUAUACUGCAUGAGACGAGAGUGUACUUUAUCACUCUCGUUCUCUUUCCGUUUGACUGUUUACUGUAUAACUGUGAAUCUGUACCUGUGCAUGGUUUAAUAUCAUUGGAGGCUUGUAUCCAACGACUUUACUGUGAUAUCUGAGCUCAAAUCUCAUUGGUCGCUAAUCGAGUUGAACCGGCAAGGGUUUGGUCGAUUAGAUAACGAACCAUGGGUUUACUGUUUGUCGAGUGGAGUGUUGUCUCCUCGAUCUUGUGGUAUACUCGAGUAUUACCCUACUAUUACUGUGAGGUGUUCAGGCCCGGUAAUGGUGUGUAUGGUGGAUGAAAUUUGGGGUAAAGUGGAGUCUACGGACGUAGUUACUUGCAAACGUUGAUAGAGGGUCAACGGGUUCGAAUCAAGUGGUAAAAAGGGAAAUUUGGCACUUGAGUACCAUCCGUAUCCUCUUAUUUCACGUUAAAAUGUGGUGCUCCUUGGUAUUUAAAUGAAGUCUAUGGGAUUGUUUAAGGUGUACUUCUGUGAUUCCUAAUUGCCUGACUUGUUGGUACCUCAUUGGGCGUAAACUCACCCUCGUUAUCUUUGUUUUCCUUACAGGAACAACUUUUGGAACCAUGAUUUUGAGAAGCUAGUUGAGCUAUUUAGAUAUUCUUUUGUUCUGUUGUAUAGCUUCUCGGUAGUUGAAAAUUCUAAAUGUAUUUCGAUCCAAUGUUCCCUUUUGAUUUGUAAUCAUACCAACGUGUGUAUAUAAAAGUAUUUCUCAUGUUUAGGUGAUAUAGAUUUCCUUGGUAUUGUACAUUCACUAGUGUUGGAUCAAGUACUUGUACUUGUUUGGGUUGCGGACGAGUGCGAAAGUUGCACGAGGAAAGAAAAAAAAAUUUCAACGGGAACUGUUCUCGAAUCCUGCCAGAUCUUGGCCGGAUAUUUGGCCGAAUUUGUGGGGGUUUUUGAAAAAAUUUUGGAUCGAACUGCUGCCUCCAUUCCGGCAAGAAUCCGGCCAGAUAUCCGGCUGGAUCUAGGCUGGAUUGUGACGUGGUAGUCACUGUUCAUUUUCAAUUUUGUUUUCGUUCUUCGUUAUUCACGGUCGUUGAAACGUUUAAGCGCUAUAAUAUCAUUCGGAACGGUUUAACCCGUGUGUGUUUAACUUAGUAGUCCUAACAAGAGUUGGGCAAGCAGUCCGCUAACCCUUCGGGUACGCCCUGGGGAAAGGUGGGACUGUCACAGCUACAGUACAGGAGGAACAAUGGAUUAUGCUUCAAAUGUGGAGAAAAAUUUGGACAAGGACAUCAAUGCAAAACUGGCCAUCUAAAUCUCCUGAUUACUGAGGAGGAAGAAGAUUCUGAGUUUGAAGAUGCACUAUGAGAGCAGGUUGAGUCCACUGGUAAUCUAGGACAAGUCCACUGGUAAUCUAGGACAAGUCAUGGAGAUGUCCUUACAUGUACUAUCUGAUGCGCUGCAGAGAAAGACUAUAACAUUGAUAGGGAGACUGGAUGGAGAAGAAAUGUUGAUAGUGGUUGACACUGGAAAUUCAGAUAGUUACAUCAGUAGUGAGAAGGUUAUUGCCUUUGACAUUCCAUACAGACUAGUUGAUCCCUUCUUUGUAAUUGUCGAGAAUGGAGCUUGUGUGACCAGUAAAGCUAUUUGUCCAAAGGUGGUGUGGGAGAUUAACCAACAUAAAUUUUGUUAUGAUCUUAAGGUAAUGGACCUAAGUGGUGGGGACAUUAUAUUGAUGGUGGAUUGGAUGACCCAUUUCAGCACCAUUACAUUUGAUUUCCACCAACUGACUAUUUCCCUGCACAACCAAGGAGAGAUGGUACAGUUGAGGGGGCAAGCAGAGAACUGUGAUUUAGAUCUCAUCAAGGGCAAUGACCUGAGAAAUUUUAUUGAACACAAGAAGCAGAUGUGCCUAGUAAUGAGACUGGGACAAGGACACUCAUUAGAGGGGAAUGUUGUGCCUCCUGAAGUACAGGGAAUUAUAGAGGGGUUUGCUGAUGUAUUUGAAACCCCCUACUAGGGAAAUAGAUCAUGAAAUCCCUCUGAAACCUGGAUCCCAAGCCUUUAAACUAAAACCCUAUAGGUAUCAUCAUUCCCAGAAGAAUGAGAUAGAAAAGCAAGUCACAGACAUGUUGCAGCUUGGAAUUAUCAUCAACAACAAUAGUAUUUUUGCUUCACCAGUGUUGCUAGUUAAAAAGAAGGAGGGAACUUGGAGAUUCUGUGUGGAUUACAGGAAACUAAAUGAGAUGACCAUCAAGGACAUAUAUUCUAUCCCUAAUGUAGAUGAAUUGAUCAAUGAACUAGCAAGGUCAAGGUAUAAAACCAAGUUGGAUCUCACUUCUGACUACCAUCAGAUCUGUAAGCCCCGAUGCAACCAAAUACAACCAAAAUACUCAACCAGACAAGUAGUCAAGUAAAUACAAUGACAAAGAAUAUAAGCAAUUUUAAAGCACAAAAAUAGUGUAACAAUAAAGUAAAAGAAAUUCAAACCAAUCAAACUCCCAAACUUCUUCCAACCUUGGAGUUGAAUCCACCAAAUAAUUUCUUCAAUUGAUGGUAGUGCUAACCAACUUGUACAAGUGAACGCUCACUCCUUCCUUACCCCAAACAUACUUUGGUUGAGCAAAGGAAUUUUACUACUCUCCAAGUAAACCCUCAACUAAUUACAAUUGAAAGUUUACUCAUUCAAUUAAGAACUACUUUAUACAGGUGAGGCAACCUUUAUCAAGGUUUUACCACUCCAAGUGAUAGGUUCACCUUCACCAAGGUUUUACUCCUCCUAGAGAGUAACCUUCACUUGAGCAACCUCACAACCCAACUUUUCCAACCCCUUAUACAACCAACAAAGAAUAUUUCUACUCAAAGAUCUCACUUGUAAGCUUGUAUUUAGUGUUGGCAAAAGUCUGUGUCUUCUUGUGUUUUGGGGUAUUUAUAGAAGGUGAGAAAUGGCUCCAAAAGGCUCUCCAACAGUCAAAUAUUAAAUGCUGUCGAAACUAGCCGUUGGCCUGUCGGACGUCCGAACCAUUUGCUCUGCGUCCGAACCAUGCGUCCGAACCACUUAUCAGACGUCCGAACCAUUUAUUCUGCGUCCGAACCCUGCGUCCGAUAGAAGUCAGAAUGUUCAAUUUUCAUUCUUUUUGUGUCGGACGGUCGAAGCAAUGAAUGAGCGUCCGAUCCAAGCGUCCGAAGAGUAUCGUCGUCUGUCGGACGUCCGAUCCUCUAUCGAGCGUCCGAUCCUCUACGUCCGAACCUUCAUAUUUCUUAACUUCUCUUUGUUUCAAAUCUUUUCGAUUCUCUUUUGGAUCAAUGACCUGUUCUAACAAAUUUCUCACAUAAAACAUUAGUCCAAAUCUACAUUUUGGUUUGUUAAUCAUCAAAACCAAGGACUGAUCAACCAAGGUCAACAAUCUCCCCCUUUUUGAUGAUGACAAACAAAAUGAAGAUUUCUUUGAUCAAAUAAGUUCAAAUAAAACUCCCCCUUAGAAAAUGCCAACAUACAAAGAAAUUUCAAUAAAUCCUACUCCCCCUUUUGGCAUCAAUCAAAAAGCAAACUCCCCCAUUAUUUUUCAAAUCAAGACCAUAUUGAAUGUCAAAACUUUCAAAUGUACUUUCAACCAUUUAGCACUUUUUGGAUCAAAUCUUCAUGAUGUACCUAAGUAUGAGAAAUUUCAUUUUGUAUUUUUUCUUUAUAGGGUUCUUGGGAGUUAGUACAAUAUGAUCUAGCAAUCCACAUGGAUUUCAUACCUUUUCUCAUAUUUUUCUUUACAUAGCAAUCAUUUUGCAUAUGUCCAAAUUGGCAACAAAAGUGACACAUGAUAGAAGUAUUUUGCACAUAAGUGGAUUUAAUGCAACUAAUUUUCUUACUUCUUAUCAUAGCAAACUUAUUUGUGCCUUGAAAAGAUUUGCUUUCUUUUGUUUGAGAAAACUUUUGUUUUUCAUUUUGGAGAAACUCGUUCAAGUCAUUAAUUCUUUUCUUUAACAAAUUUUGUUCCUCCAACAUUUUUUCAUAAAACUUUGUUUUCUCUUCCAACUUCCUUUUCAAAUUAUUUUUGCAAUCAAAAACACCUUUUUGAUUUUUUAAAUCAUCAUUUUCCAUUCUCAAACAUUUAUUUUCUUGAAAAAGUUUGGAGUUUUCUUCCAACAAAUCAUUUAUUUUUGUUUUCAAAUCUUUAUUUUUAGCAUAAGAUUUUCUCAAACUUUUAUGCAUUUUAAUCAUAAGAAUUUUCACAUCAUCAUCUUCAUUAUCUUCAUCACAAGAAGAGUGAUAAGAAUUUACCUCAUCUUCUCCAACGGCCAUUAGUGCCAUUUGGGCCAACUCUUCUUUUUCUCUUUUUGAAUUGCAUUCAUCCCAUGUAAUUUUGCAAUCUCCUCUUGAACUUCUCUUGUUGAAGAUCUUCUUGAAACUUUUGAUGUGAGGAGUUAUAUCAUUGUCCACUUCCAUGUUUUCAUUACCCAUGAAGGAUGGGUUAUCCCCCACUUGAGAUGCUUUAAAAGUUAUGCCUCUCUUAUACAUUCUUGCAUUUUCUUCCUCUUGCACUUUGAAUUUCAGCUUUAAUUCAUAAGAGGUUAGGGUAUCCACAAGAGAUUCAAUGGACAUAGAAUUUAAAUCCUUUGCCUCUUCUAUAGCAUUUAUUUUGUUUUCCCAUUCUUUUGGCAAGGCAUUCAAAAUCUUUCUAUUUUUCUCACCCAAAGAAUAUUCUUUUCCAAGCAAUUUAAGAUCUUGAAUAAUGUCACAAAAUCUACUACACAUCUUAUCAACAUUUUCAAGAGGAUGCAUUUUGAAAAAUUCAUAUUGAGAAACAAGCAAAGAUUUCUUUUGUUCUUUAAUAUCUUGCUUACCUUCAUGAAAUUCACACAAUUUAUCCCAAAUAUCUUUAGCUGAUUUACAACAUUUAAUUCUACUAGAUUCAUUUACAUCUAAUGCAUUGCACAAUAUAUACAUGGUCUUGGCAUUCAAAGAAAGGUAUCUCUUGUCUUUUUCAUUCAAUUCUUGUCUAGUCUUUAAUCUACUCAAAUUAGUGGUAGAGUCAACUAUUCUAGCUUCAUAAGGACCAUCUUCUACCACAUACCAUAAUUCAAUAUAAACGGAUUGUAAGAAAAUCAUCAUUCUUUGUUUCCACAUGCUAAAAUGAGAACCAUUAAACAUAGGUGGUCUAUCAAUAGAUUGCCCUUCUAAAAAAGAAACAUUUAUGGUUGCCAUGAUCUUUACUCUAAGCGGUUAAGCUUAAUCUCUAGGAGACCAAGCUCUGAUGCCAAUUGUUAGCCCCGAUGCAACCAAAUACAAUCAAAAUACUCAACCAGACAAGUAGUCAAGUAAAUACGAUGACAAAGAAUAUAAGCAAUUUAAAGCACAAAAAUAGAGUAACAAUAAAGUAAGAGAAAUUCAAACCAAUCAAACUCCCAAGGUUCUUCCAAACUUGGAGUUGAAUCCACCAAAUAGUUUCUUCAAUUGAUGGUAGUGCUAACCAACUUGUACAAGUGAAGGCUCACUCCUUCCUCACCCCAAACAAACUUUGGUUGAGCAAAGGAAUUUUACUACUCUCCAAGUAAACCCUCAACUAGCUACAAUUGAAAGCUUACCCACUCAAUUAAGAACUACUUUAUACAAGUGAGGCAACCUUUAUCAAGCUUUUACCACUCCAAGUGAUAGGUUAACCUUCACCAAGGUUUUACUCCUCCUAGAGAGUAACCUUCACUUGAGCAACCUCACAACCCAACUUUCCCAACCCCUUAUACAACCAACAAAGAAUAUUUCUACUCAAAGAUCUCACUUGUAAGCUUGUAUUUAGUGUUGGCAAAAGUCUGUGUCUUCUUGUGUUUUGGGGUAUUUAUAGAAGGUGAGAAAUGGCUCCAAAAGGCUCUCCAACAGUCAAAUAUUAAAUGCUGUCGAAACUAGCCGUUGGCCUGUCGGACGUCCGAACCAUUUGCUCUGCGUCCGAACCAUGCGUCCGAACCACUUAUCGGACGUCCGAACCAUUUAUUCUGCGUCCGAUAGAAGUCAGAAUGUUCAAUUUUCAUUCUUUUUGUGUCGGACGGUCGAAGCAAUGAAUGAGCGUCUGAUCCAAGCGUCCGAAGAGUAUCGUCGUCUGUCGGACGUCCGAUCCUCUAUCGAGCGUCCGAUCCUCUACGUCCGAACCUUCAUAUUUCUUAACUUCUCUUUGAUUCAAAUCUUUUCGAUUCUCUUUUGGAUCAAUGACCUGUUCUAACAAAUUUCUCACAUAAAAACAUUAGUCCAAAUCUAUAUUUUGGUUUGUUAAUCAUCAAAAUCAAGGACUGAUCAACCAAGGUCAACAAGAUCAGAGUCAAACCUAAAGACACUUAUAAAACUGUUUUUCAGACUCAUUGUGGGCAUUAUGAAUUUUUAGUUAUGCCUUUCAGACUAACCAACGCACCAGCAACAUUUCAGUCUCUCAUGAAUAAGAUAUUCCAUCCAUACUUUAGGAAGUUUGUAUUAGUUUUCUUUGAUGAUAUUCUGAUCUAUAGCCCCACUUUGGAACUGUACUUGGAACAUCUGAAAAUAGUACUGACUGUCCUAAGGAAACACAGAUUGUUUGCAAAGAAAUCUAAAUGCUCAUUCGCUCAGCAGACUAUAGAUUACCUUGGUCAUACCAUUACUGAGGAUGGAGUAUUCAUGGAUCAGUCAAAAGUUGAGAGUAUGGUGAAUUGGCCUACACCCAGGACUAUAAAAGAGCUAAGGGGCUUCCUUGGACUAACUGGUUACUACAGGAGGUUUAUCAAACAUUAUGGGAUCAUCUGUAAGCCACUCACUGAGCUACUUAGGAAGGACAGUUUUGCUUGGAAUCUAGGAGCACAAGAGGCCUUCAUCUCAUUAAAGAACAUUAUGUGCAGGGCUCCUAUUCUCAGGUUGCCUAACUUUCAAAAGACUUUCACCAUUGAGACUGAUGCAAGUGGAGGAGGGAUUGGUGCAGUAUUAAUGCAAGAAGGUCACCCCAUUGCUUUCUUAAGUAAAGCAUUAUCAACCAAGAAUCUGGGUUUAUCAGCCUAUGAGAAGGAACUGUUAGCAUUGGUAAUGGCUGUAACUAAGUGGAAGCACUAUCUGGUGGGGUAUCACUUUAUUAUUAAGACUGAUCACCAGUCUCUGAAGUACUUGCUUGACCAGAAACUCACUACUGCUUUACAAUAUAAAUGGUUGGCUAAGUUGUUGGGAUUGGGUUAUGAGAUUCAGUACAAAAAGGGAGCAGACAACAAGGUAGCUGAUGCAUUGUCUAGUUUGCAUCGUAGUAACUUGGAUCAGACAACUCCACAAGGAUCCUGUUUAGCUAUAUCAAUUUGCUAAACCAUUGUGGACACAAGAACUUCAAGGAAGUUACGGUUCAGACCCUCAUUGUCAGACCAUCAUAUCCCAACUAAUACUGGAUCCUGCUGCUCAUCCAUAGUAUGAAUGGGACAAUGGAUUGCUUAAGCAUAAUGGCAAAUUUUAUGUGGGAUCAUCUAAAGGGGUGAGAGAGAAAAUAAUACAAGCUCUUCAUGCAUCUGCAAUUGCAAACCACUCUGGACAAAGGGGCUGCUGGCAGAGGAUGAAAACUCUCUUAUAUUGGCCUACUAUGAAGCAGGACAUUAUUAGAGCUAUUCAGGCCUAUGACACUUGCCAAAGAUUUAAGUCUGAGCAUGUACAAUACCCUGGUUUACUGCAGCCACUACCUGUCCCUCAUUUAGCAUGGACUCAUCUCACCAUGGAUUUCAUAGAAAAGCCUGCCUGAAUCACAGGGAUAGAACACAGUGUUGGUAAUGAUUGAUAGGAUGACCAAAGUGGGACAUUUCAUUGCAUUAACUCAUCCUUUCACUGCUAAGCAGGUAGCACAACUUUUCCUGGACCACAUCUUUCGAUUGCAUGGACUUCCAAAAUCCAUAGUGACUGAUAGGGAUAGGAUAUUCACCAGUCUCUUCUGGCAGGAGCUCUUCAAACUGGCAGGGACUGCAUUGCACUACAGCUCUGCUUACCAUCCACAAUCAGAUGGACAGAGUGAGCGACUGAAUCAGUGUGUUGAAACCUACCUCAGGUGCAUGACUGGAGAGUUUCCCUACAAUUGGAGCAAAUGGCUGGUUUUGGCUGAAUGGUGAUAUAACUCCUCUUACCAUUCUAGCCUACAAAUGACACCAUUUGAGGCAUUAUAUGGAUAUCAGCCCUCUUCUAUACCCCUUGGGCCUCAUUUCGACUCUAUCAUACCAGCAGCAUCUCAGUUACUUCAAGAGAAAUUGAGGAUUUCUAGCAGUAAACGAGAUCACUUACUUAAAGCUCAACAGAGGAUGAAGUUUUUUGCAGAUAAAAAAAGCAUAGAAAGGACAUUUGCAGUGGGGGGUUGGGUCUUCUUGAAGUUGCAACCUUACAGGCAACAGUCAGUUGCCAUCAGAAAAUGCCUCAAACUCUCUGCCCAGUUCUAUGGUCCUUUUCAAGUGGAAGCCAAGGUGGGAUCAGUAGCUUAUCGGCUCAAAUUACCUCCAGGGGCAUGAAUUCAUCCUGUUUUCCAUGUUUCUUUACUCAAGAAGAAGAUAGGGCCAUUGCAACCAAUUUCCACCACACUACCUGAGUUCGACUGAUGAUCAGUGUCCCUUGCAACCAGAGCUCAUUUUGAGAAGAAGGGCCAUCAUGCAAAAUGGACAGUCUGUGAUCCAAUACCUGAUCAAAUGGAAGCAGCUGAGUGAAGAAGAGGCGUCUUGGGAGGAUAAAGAUUUCAUCCAUGCUCAGUUCCAGUCUUGAGGACAAGACUCAAAAUUAGGGGAGGCAAUGUCAGGAAUUAGCUUUGAUACGAUGUCGUUUAUGCAAAAAUUGUAUGAUUAAGGGCAAGAAAUCAACGCAUAAGUAAGACGGCAUCGUAAGGUUAGGAAUCAGAUGAAUUACAGCUUGAAUAGGAUGGCGUCGUUUAGCUAAUAAAAUAAGAAAUUAGUUAGUUGGUUAUCCUUGCCUAUUUGUACUAAUGUAAUUGGUAGAGUUGGUUAUGACUUGGAAUAACAAAAUUUGUUUCUCUCUCUCUUUCCCCAAAUUUUCCCACUCAAUCUUCUCUCUCUCUCGCCUGAUGAUUCUUCCCCAAUUUCUUCUUCCCCAAACUCCGAUUUCCCUUCUCCCUCAUCAAUUCUCUAAGAUUUAGGUCAGGAGCCUAACAAAACAACUCUAACGUAUGGCUCUUUGCGUGAUUUGCCUGGUCUGGUGAGAGGUAACGUCGCUCUUGAUCAGAUGGGUGUUCCAAGUUUGCGUAGAGUUAAGGCAUAGGUUAAGAUAGCGCUAGUGUUGGCUUUGCUUUCCAUGUAUGCCCUUCUUAAUUUUUAUCAAAUAAAAUAACUCGGAUUUCAAAAAAAAAAAAGUUAUGUACAAAAGUUCAAAAUUUGUAGACAACUUAUCAUGUGCCCUUAGAGUGUAGAAUACAGGAAAAAAAAUCUUAAACUACAACUGAUCCUAAUAUUUUUCUCUAUGAUAAACUAGCUUUUAUCCAUUUCUUUAGAUGAUGAAAGGAAUUAGUUAGUCACAUAUCCUCUAGUGAUUACAACAGCAUCAAAACAAAUUAGCACCCUUUUCCCGUAGUUUAAAAAUCCCUCAGCCACUAAGAUUUUGCAUAUCGAACGAAUUAAGGAACAUAGGCGCUUCGUGCUGCACAACAGUGUCCUUGUUGACGAUGCAAGGACAGAAAUGCAUCCGCAUAUACUUCCUUAAGCAUUUUGAUUAUUUUAUGAUUCGAAUUUUUCUUGUCUGACAGAUGGACUUAAUUGAAAAACACAAGUAAUAAUAUUUCAAAGCUGAUUCGUCAAAGUUUACCCAAUUGGUGAAACUUUCUUAAUAGAGUUGACUUUGUAUUACGUGACAAUGAUAUGGAAUUGAUGUUCUUCCCUUUUUCCUUUUUUGUGUUGAAGACGCACAAAGUUUUCAAUGGGAAAUUUAUAGCUUUUCACGACAAAAUGUGUUCUGAUAAAAGUUCAUUCCAGAGGUUAAAAUUUUGUGAGUUAAAAAUUUACUUCUCAAGUCUUUGAUGGGAAAGUCUUGGUAUUUCCAAAAAGUUUAAGCAGGAUGCUUUUGGCUUUCUCUCCAUGUGUUUGUGAGUUAGAUCUAAAAUUAUCAGGGCUCCAGAGAUCUCUUGAAAUCGCAACAUAUAAACCACUUUCUGUUCUCAUUUUUCAUUGAAGUCUUUCCAAAAGGAGUUUUUUUUUAUGAAUUAUGAUAGAUAAUUAAUCUGACGGUGCAUAUAUAUAUGUGAUUUGCAAGAGGGUGUUUGACGAAAUGGUUAGGCUUUCUAAGUAAUGAUAGGAACGCCAUUUGCAAAGAAGGGCAGGGGGCCUGUGCUGUCAUAUUUUAUGCGAUUUGAUUCGUUGUUGUAUAAGUUUAAACUUUUGAUGUGCAAUUGUGCUAUAAUAUUAUACUAAAUAUAUGUGUGAAAUAUUUUGUCUAUAUACAUCACUUUUAUCGCGAAUACAACAGCUGAGUAUGAUAAUAUAGUAUAAUGUAAUUGUACACCAAAUAAUAUAGCAAAUAUAACAAUCGAUCCGAAUUACAUGAAAUCAUAACAACAAAAUCACCGCCUCCCAAAUUUUACAAAAUUAGGUUUUUUUUCUCUUAGAUUAUUGAAAAUUUUCAAAAAUAUUCUACAUAAUUUAAACUUUUGUGCUACAAAAAUUUGAAGAGAUUUUACAUUACACACUUAAGCUUAGAUAUAUUAAGGGAUAAUUUCAGAAACCUCCCUUGAGAUUUCUAAUAAUUUCACUUGGCUCCCCUAAGGUUUCAAAAAUUACGCCUACCUCCCUUACCCAUUUAAAAUGAUAACACUAACCUUAAUAUUUUAAUAAAAGUCUCUUAUUGCCAUGUUUAUGCAAAAGAUGGAUUUUAUAAUUGUUUUUCCUUUUUCCUUCUUAUUCAUUUCUCUUAUAUUUCAUUAGAAAUAUAGAAGAAUUAUCAAUGUUGUCUUUAGUAUCUAUCCAAAUCAAACAUUAAACUAGUAAUAUUUUUUUGAUAACUUUUAACAUCAUCCAUUUUUUUUUGCAACCCAUUUUCAUAUUAAAAUCAAGAAUAAAUCAACAAUAAUUAUAAACAAAAUGGCCCAAAAUCACUACCAAACUAUGUUAGUUCUAUCACUAAACCAGUCCAUAAACUUUUAUUAAAAAAGUAGUCCACAAACUUAAAAAAAAAAAGAUAACACUUUCUUCUUUAUCGUAAAAAGAAUCUAUAUCCCCCAAUAAAGUUCUAUAAAAAAAAUAGCCUAUUAUGACAAAAGAUUUAUUGUUGUAGUUGAUUAUUAAAUAACAAAUAUUCGUAUGAAGAACUUGACCCUCUCUUUUUUAUAAUUGUGCUAAAUUACUUUAUAAUUGUUUAGAAGAACAAAUUAAACUUUAUAAAAUAAGGGCAUUUUAGGAUAUUCAUUAAAUUUUUCACUCUAUUUUAAGUUUUGGUUACCAAAAUAUCUAAUUAAGAGAGGUAAGUGUAAUUUUUAAAACAUCAAGGGAACUAAGUGAAAUAGCUAAAAAUCUAAGGGGAGGUUUAUGAAAUUAUCCCAUAUAUUAAAGUUUGCCCCCAAGAUUAAUUUUCCCUUUUUAUCUAUAGUUUCUCAUCUAUGAGCCGAUCCAUAUAGCUAGUUAGACUGUAGUCCUCACAUUUGUGGGAUUUGACACCCAAGAUUCUCCUUCUUGGAAUGUAAAAUGUAGAUCUUCUAUGUUAAUAAAUUCAAGACCCUACUGUCAUAAACGAAAUGACUGAUCAACUCCUGUACACCUAAUUUGACAACAUUUAAAUGGAGAACUUUAGCUAAAAGAAUUAUGGUCAAGCUAAAGAAAAAGCCAGUUAUUUUCCAACAUAUGCAAUCAUUGAUCAGGAAAAAAAAAAAAAAAGCAAAAAGACAUCUUCAAUCAUUUAAUAGCUUACAGGGCAAAUUAACCCCUAAGCGAAAACUGGUUGCUCUAGAAUCAAAAUUUUACUUUAGUUACCCAGGCAACUUUUUUGUUGCUUUUUUUUUUUUUCUUUUCCUUUUUGGGUAUAUAUAUAGCUCCAGUUUUGCCCCCUCUGUCAAGCUUAUAUAAUUAUUAAGAUAAUAAAAGUGCCUUUAAUAGUAUUAAUAUAUCCAUUGACUUGAGCUGUCAUCAGUUUGGCUACUUCGAUUCCAUGAGGCCUUUUCAAUUCACACUAGCUGGAGAAAAUGGUAAUAAAAGUACUCAGAAAAUGGGGAGUCAUGAAAACCUUUAGUUCUAUUCAUUGCUAAGAUGCUUUUCUCCAUAAAGAGACUUCCUAACGAAAAUACUUCGUAGAUUUCUUUACUCCAAGUGGUGCAUGGAAAAUUAAUAUUUUCAAUUAUCAAAUAAAAUUUCCUUUUUUUUUGUGUAGAUUUCAUCCAUCCAGCUGUUAACACAUUCUAUAAAUCCGAAUUGACUAAUCUUUUCAUUUCCAUUUUCCAACUUGCGAAUACGGCAUCUUAUAUAUUGUCUGCUAAACACUAUAUAUUCUCUACCAAAUAUGAAUACAUAUCACUUUUCUGAGCAAGUGCAGAGUCUUAUCAUUUGUAUUCCCACCCAACAAAUUUGUGGUUGAGCAUCUUUACAUGCUAUCAGGUCACAAGUUAAUAAUCUUUUAAAGAACAUGUUAAAUUAAUUUAUUGGUAUGAAUACCCCGCCCCAUUGCCUAUUAAUUACCCCCUCCCCCGCCCCAUCCUCCGCCUCGACUUGCCCCGCCCCGCUUCCCCCGCGGGGUUAAAAAAAAUUUUAUUAUAUAAUUUAUUAUAAUUAAAUUUGAACAAAUAAUCAAGUACUAAAAAUAUCAACAUAUCAUCAAAUUAUUAUUCAUUGUAACUUUACAAUUGAAACUCAUAAAAAUAAUUAAACAAAAGUUAUUUGAAUACAAUCUAAUAUGAUAAAAAAGUAUAACUAAAAUAAUCAAGUUUUUACUUUUGAUACAAAUACAAUCACUAAAUUGUUAUUGUAUUUUUUUGAAAAAAAAAUGUUAUUGUAUUAAGUGUAGUUAGGAAUUUAAUAUAAAUGUAUUAAUAAAUUUAGUAUAAAUAAUUAAUAAUUUUUAUUAAUAAACAUGUAUAAUUAGUAGUAUAAUUGAUAAUAUCAUUAUAUGUAUAAUUAUUAUAUAUAUUUUUUAUUUUAAACGGGUGGCGGGGCGGGGGUAUAUACCCCCGAAACGGGGGGAAAAAUUCCCUCCCACCCCAAUAGUCCCCGCGUGGCGGGUACCCGCCGGUCACCCGCUCCAUUGCCAUCCUUAGGUAUGAAUAAUCAAAAAAGUAUGUUAAAGUUAGUAAUCUUUAAAAUAAUAUGUUAAAAUCAUUAGUACAAAUUAGUCAGAGAAGUAGCAGAAACACCACGAUGCAAUUAAUACUUUCAAGCUCAAGGUCUCUAUUAUGGAAAUUUGCAUCGGUCAAUAUACACAAAGCAUAGUUGUAUGCACGUCUCUCUAUCAUGGAAUUUGCAUAGGUCAAUAUACAACACUUGGCAUAGUUGUAUGCACAUCUUUUUUUUUAUUUUGGUACUGUACUUCCUUGCUUUAUAGUAUGCACAUUAAUUUCUUUGGAUUGCUGAAGAUUAUAACAAUUAUGAAGUAAUAUAUAUUAGAAAAUUAACACAAUUAUGAAUUUUUUUUUGUAAAUUCAAAUUUUAUUAAUAAGAAAUGAAAUAGGCAGUAAGCAAAAACAAAAUCCUACAACAACUCUAGGACUCUACACCUUAUAAAAAAAAUACUACAAAUAAACUGCAAAAUAAAUCACAAUAACGCAAAUUAUGUUAAGCUAAUAAAUACUACUAUGCAACAAAAUUUUUGUCUUUGUCCCGCGUGAAACUACGAAGUCAAGAAUUGACUCCUUUAACCUGUAUUGUCAGCAAGAUACAACUUUGCAAUUUGAUUCAAUAGAAAUCCUCAAAUAGCUAUUUUGACAGGGAAAUUAAGCAUUAAUUUUGGUAUCCCUUCAUAAAACACAAGAGUACUUUUGAUUAUAACUAUAGAUCAACGAAAAAUCUGCCUAAACAUUUUGAUAGCAUUUUUCAAAAAGCAGAAGAUGAAAAAUUGCCCAACUGGGGAGUUCGUGAUCUUUUCCUCAUUCUAGUCUACUUACGAUUCUUGGAAAAAUGAAUACUCACAUCUCAAACAACAGCCUGUUCAUCUGCAUCGUCCCGCAGAAUUCUAGGAAGUUAGGUGGCAAUAUUAAUUACAUUUCAAAAUUGACUGCUGCGAUAACUAAUUCGAUGGCUACUACAUGGUCAACGUUUGGACCCUUCCUGCCUGCACAUAGCCCUUUUUGGAUGCACAUUUUUUUUCUCUAGGUAAUAUAAUCUCCCAACUCAUUUCUUUACAAAUGCACCUUUAAUCAACACCAAAAGGUGUGGACAUGAUCUUUACCCUAGAAAACUAUUCACCGACAGGCAAAUUGACGUCAGAAAUACUAAGAGGAAUUCUAGUUUCCUUCGGGUUCAUGCCAUUUUGUACCCUUCAACUGUAACUCGAUUUCUAAACUGUAAUUUGUGACAUUAUAGUCCUUAAACUAUGAAACCCUUCUUACUCAAGUAUAAUGGUUAAUACAAUACCCGUGACUAGACAAGUAUGAAGCAACCAUAACAAAAAAAAAUGCAAAAUUCGAGAAAAGAAAGAAGUUUCGCGACCAAAGUAUGUAUCAAGGCAUGGUACAGAAAUAAAAGUGUCAAAAUUAAGAGUUUAGGGAUGAAAAAGAAUCAAAAUAUAGUUUAGGGAUUGAUUUGUCUCAAUUAGAGUUUAGAUGUCAACUAAGAAGAGAGAUAGAGUUGAAGAGUAGAAUAUAGAUAUAACAGUUCAAUUAUUGAUAUCAACGAGACAAUGACAACUUUGGAUUAUUACCAACCUCUUCUUGAUGGGAAAAGGAAAUAGAGAAGAAAGUCGGGCCUGGUCUAAGCCUGUUUCGGAGGCAAAACAACAUUAUGAAAUCACCGGCAUUCACACAAAUAUGUCAAAGUCACCGGCAUGCUAAGUUGCAAAAUUUAUACAAACACUGAAUAAUAUAUUGUUCUUAAAAUUUUUGUUUAAGAAUUAAGAUUUAACAAUUAGAGCACGGUACACGAAUUAGCAAUAUUAAAUAGGGAUAAUUUCAGAAACCUCCCUUGAGGUUUUUGAUAAUUUCAUUGACCUCCCUUGAGGUUUCGAAAAUAACAUUGACCUCCCCUCAACUGAUUUUGGGAUCCAUUGCUGAUGUAACCUAGAAUGAAUUUGCUACUUUGCCCUUAUGCAUAAAAGGGUGAUGAGAAACCAAUUUCUGGAAAAAUAUAAUUAGGUCAUUAAAUAAAUGAACUAAUAAAAUGAUAUUAACUGUAGUUCUAUCUCUAAAAAGCCAAUGUAACUACACUUAUGAAAUGACACUAAUUGAUGCACCAAUAUGGAGCCAUUUUUUGUGAUUGGACAUGACUUUAGAGAUCAACACAAGGAUAGUAUUAUACAAAAAAUUGGCGAAGAUGGAAAAAUGGAGGGAAAAGAAGGAAAAAAGCAUAGCUCCUCUCAGGUUAAAAUAUGCUUAUUUGCAUUAAGAUUAUUGACAUGCUACCCACUCAUGCUUUUGUAUAUGGUUGGCAUUAGUGACAAACAAUCAAUGGUCAUGAAAUUUGGCUAUGCAAUCCUCACCAUCUGCCUCAUUCAUCUGGGGCAGAUGGUGUUUGAAACUAUCUUGGAUUGCAUCGACAGUUAUGUAAUACUAUAACUGCUACAAUUAUAGCAAUUUUGAACUAAUGUCAAGUGACUUAUGUUACCUUACUAACUAGUUCAACUAAUAAGUUGUUGCUUAUUAUCUCUUAUUAAAGUUACAGUAGUAGUCAUCCAACAAUAGUCAUACAUUUCUUCCAAAUACAAUCCAACUGACAAGUACUAUUGGUUUACUUCUUACAUAAUCAGAAAAGAUUUAAAAUGGUUGGUACAAUGUCGUGACACUUUUAUAUUUGUUACGAGAGUUUAUCCAAUUGAUUUUAUAUUUUGGAUGAAUAUAGAUACAACACCUAGUAUGAUAUUUAUGAUGAGUAUCAUGUUAACUAUGGCCUUUGGUUGGUCUAGCCUUGCCACUUUUUAUUACCUCAAAAUUAGGUAAUCACACUAAAAAUAAAUUAUUUCUUGAGUUGCUUGAGCCGUUUAUAUGCUUUUGAAAGAAACUUAAAAUAUGGCCAUUGCACUAGCCAUUUGUACAGACUGAAGCUUCAAGUUGUUGUUACUGCACUUUUCCUAAUUGCUAUUACACCUACUAGAAUUUACUAAUUAUGUAUGUCUUUUAAUAGUUUUCAUUAUUUACAAAUACAAGUUGUGGAUAAGCAAAAAGGGCAUAUGUGGAACACAAAUAUCAUCUCACUCAAAAUAUUUUUUUAAUGCUCAUUUUCCUGACAUGGGCUGAUCAUGUUACUACAACUAUAAGUUCAGGGGAGGUUUAUGUCAUUUUCAAAACCUUAGGGGAGGUCAAUGAAAUUGUUGGAAGCCUCAGGGGAUGUUUCUGAAAUUAUCACUAUUAAAUAAUGAAUGUUCACAAUUGAUAAAGUUAUCAAAGUACAGUUUGAGGACAACCCAUUCCAACGUAUACAAGAUGUUUAGUCUUUGAAAAGUUAAUUAGAGAAAGUGACGAGAUUUUACUGGGCUUACAACUUCUAGGCCUUGGGAGUAAAAAGUGAAGACACUGAGUACUAUAAAAGGGCUAGAUGUUGCCUAGAAGCAUAUCAGCCUCAGACCACAUUUUGUAGCAAUGGGGAGCAAAGCAAAAGCAAUGGGGUCUAGGCUGACUCCUCUUUUUACCACCGUUUUAGUGGUAUUUGUUGCUCUUGGCUUGCCUUCAGAAACUGCAGCUGAUUACGACAAGUAUUCACCUCCUCCUCCUCCUUAUCAUUAUUACUCACCACCACCUCUUGUGCAUUCACCUCCACCAUCACCAGUUUAUAAAUCACCCCCACCACCUUAUCACUACUCCUCACCACCACCUCCAGUGUAUUCAUCUCCACCAUCACUACCAUCACCUGUUUACAAGUCACCUCCACCACCUUCGCCAUUAUACAAGUCCCUACCACCACCUUAUCGAUAUUCCUCACCACCACCUCCAGUGCAUUCACCUCCACCACCUCCUCCAGUUUACAAGUCCCCGCCACCACCUUACCAUUAUUCGUCACCACCACCUCCAGUGCAUUCACCUCCACCACCACCGAUUUACAAGUCACCUCCACCACCUCCUCCAGUUUACAAGUCUCCACCACCACCUUAUCAUUAUUUCUCACCACCACCUCCGGUGCAUUCACCCCCACCACCACCAGUUUACAAGUCUCCACCACCACCUUACCAUUAUUCUUCACCACCACCUCCUGUGCAAGCACCUCCACCACCAAUUUACAAGUCAUCUCCACCACCUCCUCCAGUUUACAAGUCUCCAUCACCACCUUACCAUUAUUCCUCACCACCACCUCCAGUGCAUUCACCCCCACCACCACCAGUUUACAAGUCUCCGCCACCAUCUUACCAUUAUUCCUCACCACCACCUCCUGUGCAUGCACCUCCACCACCAAUUUACAAGUCACCUCCACCACCUCCUCCAGUUUACAAGUCUCCACCACCACCUUACCAUUAUUCCUCACCACCACCUCCAGUGCAUUCACCCCCACCACCACCAAUUUACAAGUCUCCGCCACCACCUUACCAUUAUUCCUCACCACCACCUCCGGUGCAUUCACCUCCACCACCACCGGUUUACAAGUCACCUCCACCGGUUUACAAGUCACCUCCACCAUCUCCUCCAGUUUACAAGUCCCCGCCACCACCUUACCAUUAUUCCUCACCACCACCUCCAGUGCAUUCACCCCUACCACCACCAGUUUACAAGUCUCCGCCACCACCUUACCAUUAUUCCUCACCACCACCUCCAACGCAUUCACUCCCACCACCAGUUUACAAGUCACCGCCACCACCUCCUCCUGUUUAUAAGUCCCCUCCACCACCUCAUCAUUAUUCCUCACCACCACCUCCAGUGCAUUCACCCCCACCAGCGCCAAUUUAUAAGUCUCCCCCACCGCCUCCCCCAGUAUAUAAGUCACCACCACCACCUCCUCCAGUGUACAAGUCUCCGCCACCUCCAGUCUACAAGUAUAAGUCACCACCACCUCCUUCCCCAAUUUACAAGUCACCACCACCACCUCCUCCAGUAUACAAAUCACCUCCACCACCUCCUCCAGUUUACAAAUCUCCACCACCACCAAUUUAUAAAUACAAGUCUCCUCCACUACCUCCUCCAGUGUACAAGUCAUCACCACCACCUGCUUACAAGUCUCCACCUCCUCCAGUUUACAGUUCCCCACCACCACCAAUCUACAAGUCUCCACCUCCACCCUACCAUUACUACUACAAUUCUCCUCCUCCUCCUCGUCACUACUAAGCAAUUGUAUCCAAGUUUUUGAGGUAAUAACGUUUAACCAAUAAAUUAACUUUCGCAUGAUAAACCUUAUCUCUAUCUAGACAAACUGCCAUGUGUAUAAUGCCAAAUACGUACACCUAGAUCCAUGAAAAUGAGUGGUAGAAAGUUUUCUUAAGAACCAAGGAACAGCAUUAGUAUUCCCUCUGCUUCCAAACACUUGUGUAUUAAAUAGAUUAAUGAAUUGUUUAACAUGCUCAUCUACUUGAAAAUGCACAAUACCCAUAACCCACUGAAAUUUUUGCAGGAAAAGGGAAAGAGAAUCUGUGUUUGAGAGCUUCAUGAAGAUGUUGAAGAAUAAGAAUAAAAGCCCAAUGCGAGGAUGUUUUCAAGUUUUUCUAUGUUUCCACUUUAAUUUGUAAAUUGAAUUUUGCGACUCAAUUAAUUCCCUGUUUGUGGGGUACGUAUUGUUUUACGUACCAUGCCGUACAUGUUUGUAAGGAUUUCUAUCCUAUUGGCAAAAGUCGGUUCCGUACAAUUAAUCAAUUCAUUUCACUUCUAUUGGCUCUACUAUUUAUGCAUGUUACGACAUUUUUUCUCUCUUUCCCUUAUAUUUUGCCUUUAAUAUUAUUGAGUCAAUAUUAAUAAUGGGCCUUUUUCUUAAAAUUAUACUAUUAUACAUAGGUAGUUUGGUCUAACGCUAAAUUCAUGUUUGUCUUUCUUUUAUUCCCUUUACAUCUCAAAGUAUACUAUAGUUUGUAAUCAUUGUGGUGAUGAUAUUACCAGCUGGUACUUAUAGUUUAAGGCAGAGACAUGAUAUUAACAACUAUCUCAUUGAAACAUAAGGAAAAAUCAUGACAAGUGUGAGUCUUGGUUAAUGCACAAUUUGUUAGUGGAAUUUAUAUUUAUAAAACUCAAAAAAAAUUUUUGACAAUGCUAUUACUAAUUAAUUAAGGACUUUAUUGCUAUAACUUAUCGCUUACUAGUUUAAACUAUAAAUGAUCUCAAUACUUUUCUCCAUGAUGUCGAUUUCUUUAGACUACGAAAGGGAAAAAUUAGUGACAUAUCCUCUACUGAUUACAACAUCAGCAAAAAUUAGUUAUAAACUUUUCCGGUGGUUUUAAAUCCCUCGGGCCCUAAGAUUUUUUGCUCAUCGAGUGAAUUAAGGAACAUAGGCAAUUCGUUCUACAUACCAAGUCCUUGUUUAAGAUGCAAGUACUAAAAUGCAUCCACUUCAUUAAUUUGGGAAAUUGCCAUAGUUUUUUUUAAGCAUUUUGAUUUUUUACAUGAUUCAAAAUUUUCUGAUUGGAUACAAUCACUUUGUAUCAAGAACACAUUUUCAAUCACCUUUUUUUAUCUUCUCAAUAAGAAAAUAAAAAUUUAUUCAUGCUUUUCUAACAUAUUCAAUCAUUGAUCUGAAAAUUAAAACAUUAAAAAAAAAGGACAUUUUCAAUCACUGCUUACAGGGCAACUUCCCCAUGUGAACCUCUUCAAACAAAGCCAAUAAUAUGAAGGAAUAUCUAAAUAUACUUUUGCCCUAAAGGCUGGUUGCCUUGGGGUCAAAAUUUAACCUUCCGGAGUAUAAUUACCCUGCCAAAUUUAUUUUUUUUUUAUGGGUAUAUAGUUCCAAUUUUGCCUCCUGUUAAGCUUAUAAAUAUAUUAUCACCCAGAAAAUAAAGGAAUCUUGAAUACUAACAUGUCCAUUGACUUGAGUUGUCAUCAAUUUGGCUACUUCGAUUCCAUGAGGCCAAUCCAAUUCACACUAGCUAGAGAAAAUGGUGACAAAGGCACUUAGAAAAUUAUAUGUAAUAUUGAUUGGUAGUAACCAGCUUGUAUUGAUUGGUAGUAACCAGCUUGUGCUCUUAUGAAAAAAAAAUUAGCAAAAUUUAUGAGAACAAUUAAAUUUAUUCGUACAAAUCAGUCAAAGAAGUAGUAUUUUAAAGACCGUGAUGAAAUUAAUACUUUCAAGGUUUCUAUUAGGAAGACUUCCUUUGUUGGUGAAACUACACUAGGCAGAGUUAUAUGGUAUCAAAAAAUAGUUGUAUUCACGUCUGUUCUUUUUUUCUUCCUUAAGUUUUUUUCUUUAUUCUCGUGACUUCAAAAAUACGAACUCAAGAAAUUGGCUGCUCAAUCAGUAUGUCAUACAGGCUUCGCUAGUGAGGUAUAACUUCACAACUAGAGCCAAUAGAAAUCGUCAAAUGAUUUUUUGACAUCCAAAUUAAGCAAUAAAUUUUGUUUUCAUUUCAUAACAUAUAAUAGUACUACUUCAUGGGAGAUUUUAUAGUUUCUUUAGGGUAUCAUACCUACAAGUGAUAUUUGUCAUUGGAUAGUGAAAGAAGUGUUAAUGACUGUAAGAUUAAAUAUUGUUAAAUAUUGAAAAUUUAAACUAUUUAUCUUUAUUGAGAGAUACAACUUAAAGAAUCCUACCCAAAAGAGACUAUAGAAUUUUCUCUGUUUUUCAUCAUCUGUAGACAUAAAUUUUGCCUAUACAAUGUGAUAGCAUUUUUUCAAAAAGACAAGAUGGAAAAUUGCCCCCCUUGAACGGAAAAUUGCCCCCUUGUCAAUUCUUUAAAAAAGAAUACUCGCUCCUGAACAUAGCCUGUUCAUCUACACUGUCCCGCAGAAUUCUAGAAAGUUAGGCAAAACUAGACUAGUUGACAGGUAUAAUCAUACCCAACAUCAGGAACAAGCAGUUGCACAUUUCAAAAUUCGCUGCUGCAACAACUAAUUUGAUGACUUACAACACUACACGGUCAAACUUUGAAUGGCAAUGGAUCUUUUGAUGUAAUUUUCAUGUUACAUACAUUAAUAGAUUGAUAUCUAUAUUCUUUAAAUUAUCGUAAUAAUACUCUUAAUUACAUUUAAUUGAUAAAAAGAACACGUGUCAACACACAAAAAUGUGUAAUGUGAAUGUUACAUUAGUGUAUAGCAGAAGACCUAUAGUCUCUUCACAUCUCUUCCUGCACGUAUCAAUUCGUUUCCUCUAGAUAAUAAUCUCCCAACUCAUUUCUUUACAAAUGCACCUUUUAUGUUUUAUUACCUCCAAAAGCCUUUACAGGGUCUUUACCCUAAAAAUCAAUUCACCGACUCGCAUUUGAUAUCAGAAAUUCUUAUUACGAAUUCUACUUUACUCAAAGAUUGACUGUUAAUAAUGAGACAACGACCAUUUUGUAUUAUUACACCGUCCUUCUUGAUAGGCAAAAGAAAUAGAGAGGAAAGCGGGUCCGUAUAUGGUCUUUUAUUCAUAGAUAAUACAACAUUACGCCAUCGAGCAUUCACACAAUAUUUCAAAGUCAUUGCAUGCCUAAGACCCUGUUUGAUAAUCCAAUUCCAUACUUAAAUUUAAUGGAUUUAAAUCUUAACACAUUCAAAUCGUUUGAUAACAAAAAAUUGAACAUUUAAAUUAAUUAAGUAACACUGGAUUUCCAAGACAAAACUUGCUCCCAAAAUUAAGUGAUAAGUGAAUAACUUAUCACUGAAUGUAUGUAUUAGAUUUAAUACUUAAUAAUUUAAUAAUUUAAUGAAUUCAGAUUUCAGAUUUCAGAUUUCAGAUUUCAGUUUUCAGUUUUAUCACACACACCCUAAGUUACAAAUUAAUACCAAAACUUGUUAUUAUAUAGCUUGAGAUUCAAAAAUUUAGAGCAUAAUUCUCAACCUAACACAAUUGAAUAAUGAAUAUUCACGAUUGUCAAAACUAUCAAAGUACAAUUUGAGGACAACCCAUUCCAACGCGUACACGAUUUUUAACUUUUCUAAAGUUGUUGAGAGCUGUUGAAAGAGAUUUACCAUGUUUACAUCUUCCAAGUCUUGGGAGUAAAAAAUGAAGCCACUGAGUGCUAUAAAAAGGGGGCUAGAGGCUGCCUAGAAGCAUAUCAGCCUAAAACAAGAAUUUGUAGUAACAAUGGGGAGCAAAGCAAAAGCAACGGAGUCUAGGCUGACUCCUCUUCUUACCACUGUUUUAGUGGUAUUUGUUGCCCUUGGCUUGCCCUUGGAAACUGCAGCUGAUUAUUACAAGUAUUCAUCUCCUCCUCCUCCUCCUUACCACUAUUCCUCACCACCACCUCCUGAGUAUUCACCUCCACCAACCCCUGUUUAUAAGUUACCCCCACCAUCUCCUCCAGUUUACAAGUCCUCACCGCCACCUUACCACUACUCACCACCUCCGGUGUAUUCACCUCCACCAUCACCAGUUUACAAGUCACCGCCACCACCCCCUCCAGUAUACAACUCCCCGCCUCCACCAGUGUACAAAUACAAGUCCCCACCGCCACCUCCUCCAGUUUACAAAUCUCCACCGCCACCAAUUUACAAGUACAAGUCACCCCCACCACCUCCUCCGGUAUACAAGUCUCCUCCGCCACCUGUUUACGAGUACAAGUCUCCUCCACCACCUCCUCCAGUGUACAAGUCUCCACCACCUCCAGUUUACAAGUACAACUCACCACCACCUCCUCCCCCAGUUUACCAAUCUCCACCACCACCAGUUUACAAAUACAACUCACCACCACCUCCUCCCCCAGUUUACCAGUCUCCACCUCCACCCUAUCAUCACUACUACGGUUCUCCUCCUCCUCACCACUACUAAGCAAGUGCAUCUAAGUUUUGAGGUAAUAAUACCUAUCCAAAACUUUAUCAACACAAACUGCCAUGUAUAUCAUGCUAAGGACGUACACUUGAUCCAUGAAAAUGACUUGUAGAAGAUUUUUUUUAAGAACCAAAGAAAUACAUUAUUUUUUCGGUCUGUUUUCAAGAAUUUGAGCAGUAUACAGAUUAAAGAGUGUUUUUUUUUUUAAACUUGCUUAUCAACUUAGAAAUGCACAUAGCUGAAAGCCAACUGAAUAUUUGCAGGCAAAGGAGAAGACAAUCGGUGUUUGCGACCUUCAAGAAGAUGUAGAAGAAUAAGAAUAAAAGCCCAAUGCGAGGAUGAUUCCAAGUUUCUACGUUACCAUUUCUACAUCUAAAUUGACUCUAGCUCCUGAGUUCCAUGUUUAUGGGGUUUGUACCGUUUUACGUACCAUGCAGUGCAUGCUUGUAAGGUUUUCUGUCCUGUUGGCAAACUGCAGGUCCAUAUAAUAAAAGAAUACUAUUUAUAUUACGACACUUUUCUCUCUUUCUCUUAUAUUUUGUCUUUAAUAUUGUUGAUCAUUUUUUUUUAUUUAUCAAAAGUAUCAAAUGUUUAGGUAAUUUGGUCUAAUGCUAAUUGUUUUACUUCUCUUUUUCACCUACACCCCUUUUCAACUCAAAGGAUGCUAUAGUUUGUGAUAAUUGUUUAAGACCGAAGCAUGAUACUAAUAAAUAUCUCAUUGAAAGUCAAGGAAACUAACAUUAUGAAAAGUGUAAAUCUUGAUUUGAUGAAACUAUUUAUUCGUGGAAUUUAGAGAUACAAAACUCAAAUUGUGACGGUGCUGUUGCUAAAUUAUUAAGGACAUUAUCACCACUAUUUUUCCCUUACUAGUUUCAACUGCAAUGAUCUCAAUCUUUUUGUGACUAAUUCUUUUCUUAAUAAUUUAUAAAUACAAAACUCACAAAGAAUAUGUGACUAAUUCUUUCCUUUCGUCUUCUAAAGAAAAUGGCAACUGUUAGUUUAUCAAGGGAAAAAGGAUCGACAUCAGUUGUUAUUGAAACUAGUAAGGAAAAAAUAAUGGUGAUAAUGUCCUUAAUAAUUUAACAACAGCACCAUCAGAAUUUGAGCUUUGUAUCUAUAAAUUCCACGAAUAAAUAGUUUCAUCAAAUCAAGAUUUACACUUUUCAUAAUGUUAAGUUUCCUUGACUUUCAAUGAGAUAUUUAUUAGUAUCAUGCUUCGGUCUUAAACAAUGAUCACAAACUAUAGCAUCCUUUGAGUUGAAAAGCGAAGUAGGUGAAAAAGAGAAGUAAAAAAUACAAUUAGCAUUCCCUCAAAUCGUAGAAAGUUAGGUAGCAUUAUAGACAAGUUGAUAGCCGUAAUGAUACUAAAAAUCAGGCAAAAGCCAGCAAUUUUACAUUUCAAAAUUCACCUAUCCAAUAACUAAUUCGAUGGCUUGCUACAUGGUCAAUCUUUGGACCCCUUCCUGCCACCACAUAUCCCUUUCCUCAAUCAGGGGCUUCUACAAUUACCAGUUCCAAUUGUAUGGUAUAGUGUAAAUAUCAACAAAUCAGAUGUAGACGCUAAUUUAAUAAAUGUGGAUGCUAAGACAACAACAUACAAAAACAUAAUAAAUUUUGGCAUUCCUUAAAAAAAUUAAGUCCCCAAAUCAAUCUCAUACACCCAAUUUCUAAUUUAAUUUAACCCAUUCCCUCUAUUAACUACACCAUACAAUACAAUCGAACCCAUUCCCUUCUAAUUUCUUCACAAAAUGCACCUUUCAUCACCGACAUGAUCUUUACCCUAGAAGACUAUUCACCGACUCUCCAUUGACGUCAGAAAAUCUAAGAGUAAUUCUACUUUACCCUAAGAUUGAUAUCAACGAGACAAUAAUGACAAUUUAGAAUUAUUACACGCCUCUUCUUAAUAGGAAAAAGAAAUACAGAAGAAAGUCAGGCCAGGUCUAAUUCUUUUUCAAAGGCAAUACAAUAUUACGAAAUCAAGCAGUCAUUCAUACAAAUAUUUCAUAGUCACCGGCCGGGGUUUGCUGAGUAGAAAAGUUUAUACAAAAACUUAAUAUUAUAUUGUUUAAGAGUUAACAAUUUAGAGCUUAAUCUCCUUGUACUUUGGACUAAACUCGAACGUGAAAGGAAAUCCCAAAACCAUAUUGGGCAUGAAUUCACACUUAAUAGACCCAAAAGAAGAUGGCGACUGGUGAAAGGCAGUGGAGACUGGUGGAGAGAUUUGAGGAAUAGAAGCAGACGGAAAAGCAACAAAUUUUUGCCGAAAAACGGUCACUUUCAUGGUUAAUUUUGCUACUCUCUAAUUGUACUUGACCAAAUACAACAAUUUCAUGGAGUUUGAUACACAAGCCCAAAUACACGAGAGUGUGUAACCUGAAUUGUUACUUAUACAUUAGUGUGUAAUAGAACGGCAAGCAUUAUGGUGGUCAUUGAGCAACUUAUAGAAGAAAUAGUCCUAUAAGCUGUUCGAUGACCAAUCGCAACUUGCUAAUUGGAUGACUAAUAUAGCUCUAGCUGUAAUGUUUUAAUUAAAUUCCAUCACUAACGUUGGGAUGACUUUUUAACCAAAAAAAAAAAAAAAGCCUUAGUUCAAGCUUUUCCCCUUAUUGUGCAUUUUUUAAAACAUUUGAUAGGCACUGCAAAUCUGUCAUUUUGGACAUCAACCCAUAUCCAACACAAGAUUAAAUUAAUAUUAGAAAAAAUUAUUACGUAAUUGGAAAAAAAAAAAGAAGAGACUAAUUUUCAUUGAAACCCACCGACAAACUAAGCGUGUCCAUAGCUUUUGAUUAGUUCAUUGCCGAUCACAUGGAGUAAAGAUUGUGCUCUUUCCCUUUCCCCCCCUUUUGGAAUCGAUACUGUGGAGAAUUGGCUUUUUCCCUCCUUUUUUUCUUUUCUUUUCUUUUCUUUCCUUCUGUACUUUGCAAAACAUAGGUAAAAAUAUGAAAUCCGAAGCAUUCUUUAAUUGGGAUUAAGUAUUGUUCUUGAAAUUAAAAAAAAAAAGAAAGAAAGAACAACAAAAAUCCCAAUCUGGGUUGAUUGUUGAGCUCUAGAUUGGCUGCAUCGUGCUUCCAUAGAAGUUCUCUUAGUGUGAUACGCUGCUUUCAAUCAGUUUUAACACGGGAAAAAGAAAAGACAUGAAAAGCAAAUUUUGUGGGGAUAAUUUCGGUAACCUCCCCUGAAGUUUUUGACUAUUUUACUGGCCUCCCUUCAGAUUUUAAAAAUUGCACUAAUCUUCCUUAAAGUUAAUUAUCUUGUAACAUUUAGAUCCAAUCAAUAAUUUAAAAAAUGAUAUUAUGAGAGAGAAAAUAAUAUGAUUUUAUCAUUGCCCCCAUCUUACUACAUUAUUUAAUUAAUUUAAUAGCAACCCACACAUUAAAGAAAAAUGCAAAAAUUUGUUGUUUAUCAUUAAAGAUCAUCAUAUCGCAUAUAACAUCAAAAAAUAGUAUAUUAUUUAUAUUUUUCACUUAAUAUAAUAUCCAAAUUACUCUUUUCAGUUACAUACCCAUUGUUAGACAAAAUCAACAACAAAUAACCAAAAAAUUUGCAACCAAAAUAUUACAAAAAAAUAAACUUUAACAUCAUAAAUAUUUUUAUCAACAUAUUAAAGUUAGUUAUUGAAAUUUUUAUGGUGUUAAACUUCACUCUUUGUAAUAUUUUGGUUACAGAUUUUUUUGAUUAUUUGUUGUUGAUCGUGUUUGACAAUGGAUUUGUAACUGAAAAGAACAAUUUGGAUCUUACAUUAAGUGAAAUAUAUAAAAAUAUUAUACUAUUUUUUAUGGCAUAUGUGAUUCUUUUUUUUUUUUUUUUUUUAUCAGAACGGCAACAUUGUAUUAAUAGUAAACCAAUUACAGUAUAGGUGGGCAACCGCCCUCACAAUCUGCCUGGACUUGUUCCAGCAGCCAAACUGGGAAGUUUUCCUUCCAUUCAGUAUUUUGUUCCAAAGUAAUAGCUACUUUAGCUAGUUUAUGGCUAACAAAGUUGUUCACCCUAUUUGCAAAGGUAAAACAACAUUCAUCAAAUUUUAUUCAUGUACAAUUGUUGCUAUCACCACGUCCUCCUCCUCCUCCUCACUGCACACUACUUGACUACCACCCUUCGCCAACCUUGCUGUUGCAUGUGCAACUAUCAUGGCCUCUCUUAGCGCCUUUGCUUCUUCGACCUUUGGACUGGCACAGCUAAAAUUUGGAACAGCCCAGGCCCACCCGCAAUCUUCCCAACCAAUCCCUGGCCACCCUUUUCCCACCCAGCUUCUAUGGCAUGUGUGAUUCAAUCCUUCUUGAUAGGAUUGGUAAUAGAGGCAGAGGGGGGAGCCGGCUGCAUCCGGUCUACUUUUCAUAGAUAGUACAAUAUUGCGAAAUCGAUCGCAUUCACACAAGAAUAUUUCGAAGUCAUUGCAUCGCUAAGUUGCAAAAAAGUACAAACACUUGUUAUUAUAUAGCUUAAGAUUCAAAACUUUAGAGCACAACCCUCCACCUAACACAAUUGAAUAAUGAAUAUUCACGAUUGUCAAAUCUGUCAAAGCACAGUUUGAGGACAACCCAUUCCAACCUGCAAAAGAUUUUUGACUUUUUUAAAGUUGUUGAGAGCUGUAAAAAGACUUACCAUGCUUACAUCUUCCGAGCCUUGGGAGUUAAAAAUGAAGGCACUGAGUGCUAUAAAAAGGGGGCUAGAGGCUGCCUAGAAGCAUAUCAGCCUAAAACAAGAAUUUGUAGUUAUGAUGGGAAGCAAAGCAAAAGCAAUGGGGUCUGGGCUGACUCCUCUUCUUACCACUGUUUUAGUGGUAUUUGUUGCUCUUGGCUUGCCCUCAGAAACUGCAGCUGAUGAUCACUACAAGUAUUCAUCUCCUCCUCCUCCUUACCACUAUCCCUCACCACCACCUCCAGUGCAUUUACCUCCACCAGUGUACAAAUACAAGUCCCCACCACCACCUCAUCAUGUUUACAAGUACAAAUCUCCACCACCCCCACCACCACACCCAGUUUACAAGUAUAAGUCGCCACCACCACCUCCUCAUCCGGUAUACAAGUACAAGUCUCCUCCGCCACCUCCUCAUCCGGUACCACACCCAGUUUACAAGUAUAAGUCACCACCACCACCUCCUCAUCCGGUACCACACCCAGUUUACAAGUAUAAGUCUCCUCCGCCACCAGUUUACAAAUAUAAGUCUCCUCCACCACCACCUCCAGUGUACAAAUACAAGUCUCCACCACCACCAGUUUACCACUACAAGUCUCCACCACCUCCUCCCCCAGUUUACAAAUACAAGUCUCCACCACCACCAGUUUACCACUACAAGUCUCCACCACCUCCUCCCCCAGUUUACAAAUACAAGUCUCCACCACCACCACCACCAGUUUACCACUACAAGUCACCACCACCUCCUCCCCCAGUUUACAAAUACAAGUCUCCACCACCUCCUCACCACUACUAAGCAAUUGCUUCUGAGGUAAUAACACUUGUUCAAUAUACACACUUCUGCAUGAUAAAACAUAUCUCUAUCAACACAAACUGUCAUGUCUAUCAUGCUAAGUGCCUUCACUUCAUCCACGAAAAUGACUGCUAGAAAAUUUUUUUUUAAGUUACCAAAGAAAAGCAUCAUUUUUUCCCUCUGUUAUCAAGAACUUGUACAGUAUGUAGAUUAAAGAGUUUUUAUUUUAACUAGCUUAUCAACUUAGAAAUGCAUAUAACUGAUAGCCAGCUGAAUAUUUGCAGGCAAAGGAGAAGGAAACCAGUGUUUGGACCUUCUUGAAGAUGUAGAAGCAUAAGAAUAAAAGCCCAAUGUGAAGAUGAUGAUUUCAAGUUUUUCUACGUUACCAUUUCUAUAUCUAAAUUCGUUGUAGCGCCUUAGUUCCUUUGUUUAUGGGAUUUGUAUCGUUUUACGUACCAUGCAGUACAUGUCAUGUUUGUAAGGUUUUCUAUCCUGCCGGCAAAUCGCAGGUUCCAUGUAAUAAAUCAAUACUAUUUAUAUUACGACACUUUUCUCUGUUUCUCUUAUAUUUGUUUGGAUUGAGCUUUAUUUCCCCAAAUUUAUUUGCUUACAUCAUCAUUACAAUUUCUAAUACACCUUUUUACCUUCCCGAUUACCUUUUUAUCUCACAUACAUCACAUCACAAAAAGUGCUACAGUAAAAAUAUCUCUAAUAAUUCACAAUCCAAACAGACUUUUGUCUUUAAUAUUCUUAAUCAUAUUUUUAACAAAAAUAUUCAAAUACUUAGGUAAUCUGGUCUAAUGCUAAUUGUAUGUUUUACUUUUCUUUUUCACCUGCUCCCCUUUUCAACUCAAACGGAUGCAAUAGUUUGUGAUCCCUGUUUAAGACGGAAGCAUGAUACUAAUGAAUAUAUCAUUGAAACUCAAGGAAACUAACAUUAUGAAAAGUGUAAAUCUUGAUUUGAUGCAACUAUUUAUUCGUGGAAUAUAUAGUUACAAAACUCAAAUUCUGACUGCGCCAUUGAUAAAUUAUUAAUGACGCUAUCAUCAUUAUUUAUCCCUAACUAGUUUCGACUACAACUGAACCCAAUAUUUUCCCCAUGAUAAAAGUUUUUGACUAUUUUACUGGCCUCUCUUCAAAUUUUAAAAAUUACACUAAUCUUCAUUGAGAUUAAUUAUCUUGUAACAUUUAGUUCCGAUCAAGAAUUUAAAAAUGAUAUUAUGAGAGAAAAAAUAAUAUAAUUUUAUCAUUGCCCCCCAUCUUGCUAUAUUAUUUAAUAAAUUUAAUAGCAACCCACACAUUAAAGAAAAAUACUAAAAUUUGCUACUUUUCAUUAAAGAUCAAAUUGCAUAUGCCAUAAAACAUAGUAUAUCAUUCUAUGUGUUUCACCUAAUGUAAGAUCCCAAUUGUUAUUUUCAAUUACAAACCCAUUGUCAAACAUGAUCAACAACAAAUAACCAAAAAAUUUGCAACCAAAAUAUUACAAAAAAAAAUAAACUUUAACAUCAUAAAUAUUCUUACCACCUCCAGUGCAUUCACCCUCACCAACCACUAGUUUACAAGUCACCCCCACCACCUUACCACUAUUCCUCACCGCCACCCACAGUGCAUUCACCUCCACCACCACCUGUUUAUAAGUCACCUCCACCACCUUAUCAUUAUUCGUCACCACCAUCUGCAUUGCUUUCACCUCCAUCAUCACCAGUUUACAAAUCACCACCACCAUCUUCCCCAGUGUACAAGUCCCCUCCACCACCAAUUUACAAGUCUCCGCCGCUAUGUCCCCCAGUAUAUAAGUCAUCCCCACCACCGCCUCCAAUGUACAAGUCUCCGCCGACACCAAUCUACAAGUACAAUUCACCACCACCCAUGCCUCCAGUUUACAACUCCUUGCCACCACCUAUUUACAAACACAAGUCUCCCCCACCACUUCCUCCGGUAUACAAGUCAUCUCCACUGCAUCCUCCAAUUUAUGAGUCUCCUCGUCCACCAGUUUACGAGCACAAGUCUCCUCCACCGCCUCCUCCAGUAUAUAAGUCACCACCACUAUCUCCUCCAGUACAUGUCUCCACCACCGCCUAUUUACAAAUCUCCGCCUCCUCCAGUUUACAAUUCCCCACCACCACCAAUAUACAAGUCUCCACCUUCAUCCAACCAUUACUACUAUAAUACUCCUCCUCCUCCUUCGCACUACUGAGGAAUUGCAUCCAAGUUUUGAGGUAAUAACGCGUAACCAGUAUAAACUUUUGUAUGAUAAACCUUAUCCCGAUCAACACAAACUGCCAUGUGUAUCAUGCUAAGUACGUACGCUUAGAUCCAUGAAAAUGACUAGUAGAAGGUUAUCCUAAGAACCAAGGAACAUUAGUUUUCCCUCUGUUUCCAAAAACUUGUGUUUGUUUAACAUGCUUAUCAACUUGGAAAUGCGCAUUGCUAAUAGCCAACUGAAAUUUUUGCAGGCAAAUUGGGAAGAGAAUCAGUGUUUGAGCGGUUCAUGGAAGAAUAAGAAUAAAAGCCCAAUGCGAGGAUGUUCUCAAGUUUAUUAAUGUUUCCGUUCUAUUUUGUAAAUUGAUUUUUGCGACUUAAUUAAUUCCCUGUUUGUGGGGUUCGUGUUGUUUUACCUACAUGCCAUACAUGUUUGUAAUGAUUUUUAUUGCAAAAUGCCGGUCCAAUAAAAUAACUGUAUUCAUUUUGUGUCUUUUGAGUAAACUUCUAUUGGUUCUACUACUUAUUUUACGAUAUUUUUUUUCUCUCUUUCUCUUACAUUUUCCGUUUAAUAUUAUUGAUAAUUUUUUUAACAAAAAAGGUUGAUAUACUUAGGUAGUUCACUAGUUUGGUCUAAUCCUAACUUCAGGCUUGUCUUGUCUUUUAUCUCUACAUACCUUUUCAACUCAAAGGAUGCUACUAUAAUUUGUGAUCAUUGUAGUGGUGAUAUUCCGAGCUAUUACAUAUAAUUUAAGGCAGAGAUUUGAUCCUAGCGAGUAUCUCACUGACAGAUUAGGAAACAUCAUGAAAAGCGUAUAUCUUGAAUUAGUGCAACUAUUUCUUAGGGGAAUUUAUAGUUACAAAAUUCCAAAUUUUGAGAUUCUAUUACUGAUUAAUUAAGGACGUUAUCACUAUUUUUUUUUAAUUAUCACCAUUAAAUACCCCACAUACUAUAAGUUUUUUUAGGGCACAGGAAAAGAGGUGGGCCGAUGUUUAGUUAUCUACAAAAGUUCAAAUUUUGUAGAUAAAUUAUCAUGCGCCCUUAAAGAGUGCAGAAUACCAAAAAAAAAAAAAAAAAAAAAUCAUAUACUAUAACUAAUCCUAAUAUUUUUCCCUACGAUAAACUAACUCUUAUCCAUUUCUUUAGAUGAUGAAAGGAAAUAGUUAGUCACAUAUCCUCUAGUGAUUACAACAGCAUCAAAACAAAUUAGCACUCUUUUCCCGUAGUUUAAAAAUCCCUCAGCCACUAAGAUUUUGCAUAUCGAACGAAUUAAGGAACAUAGGCGCUUCGUGCUGGACAACAGUGUCCUUGUUGACGAUGCAUCCGCAUAUACUUCCUUAAGCAUUUUGAUUAUUUUAUGAUUCGAAUUUUUCUUGUCUGACAGCUGGACUUAAUUGAAAAACUCAAGUAAUAAUAUUCCAAAGCUGAUUCGUCAAAGUUUACCCAAUUGGUGAAACUUUCUUAAUAGAGCUGACUUUGUAUUACGUGACAAUGAUAUGGAUGCUCAAAGUUUUCAAUGGGAAAUUUAUAUGAGCUUUUCACGACAAAAUGUGUUCCGAUAAAGGUUCAUUCCAGAGGUUAAAAUUUUGUUUGUUAAAAAUUUACUUCUCAAGUCUUUGAUGCGAAAGUCUUGGUAUUUCCAAAAAGUCUUGAAAUCGCAGCAUAUAAGCCACUUUCUGUUCUCUUUUUUUCAUUGAAGUCUUUCCAAAUGUCAGUUCCAAAAGGAGUUUUUUAUGAAUUAUGAUAGAUAAUUAAUCUGACGGUCCAUAUAUAUGUGAUUUGCAAGAGGGUGUUUGGCGAAAUGGUUAGGCUUUCUAAGUAAUGAUAGGAAUGCCAUUUGCAAAGAAGGACAGGGGGCCUGUGCUGUCAUAUUUUAUGCGAUUUGAUCCGUUGUUGUAUAAGUUUAAAUUUUUGACGUGCAAUUGUGCUACAAUAUUAUACUAAAUAUAUGUGUGAAAUAUUUUGUCUAUAUACAUCACUUUUAUCGUGAAUACAACAGCUGAGUAUAAUAAUAUAAUAUAAUGUAAUUAUACACCAAAUAAUGUAACAAAUAUAACAAUCGAUCUGAAUUACACGAAAUCAUAACAACAAGAUCACCGCCUCCCAAAUUUUACAAAAUAAGGUUUUUUUUUUCUUUUAGAUUAUUGAAAAUUUUCAAAAAUAUUCUACAUAAUUUAAAUUUUUGUCCUACAAAAAUUAAAAGAGAUUUUAUAUUGCACGCUUAAGCUUAGAUAUAUUAAAGUUUGCCCCCAAGAUUAAUUUUCCGUUUUUAUCUAUGGUUUCUCAUCUAUGAGCCGAUCCAUAUAGCUAGUUAGACUGUACUCCUCACAUUUGUGGGAUUUGACACCCAAGAUUCUCCUUCUUGGAAUGUAAAAUGUAGAUCUUCUAUGUUAAUAAUUCAGGACCCAACUGUCAUAAACGAAAUGACUGAUCAACUCCUGUAAAUCUAAUUUAACAACAUUUAAAUGGAGAACUUUAGCUAAAAGAAUUAUGGUUAUUUUCCAACAUAUGCAAUCAUUGAUCAGAAUAUAUAUAUAUAUAUGUAAAAGACAUCUUCAGUCAUUUCAUAGCUUACCAGGCAAAUUAACCCCUAAGUGAACCUCUUCGAACAGAACUGACAAUAUGGAUGAAGAUCUGGAUAUUCUUUUAUCCUGACUCCUAAGGGAAAACUGGUUGAUCUAGAAUCAAAAUUUUACCCUAGUUACCCAGGCAACUUUUUUGUUGCCUUUUUUUUUUUUGGUAUAAAGCUCCAAUUUUGCUCCCUCUGUUAAGCUUAUAAUGCAUAUAAUUAUUAAGAUAAUAAAAGUGCCUUGAAUAGUAUUAAUAUAUGCAUUGACUUGAGCUGUCAUCAGUUCGGCCACUUCGAUUCCAUGAGGCCUUUUCAAUUCACACUAGCUAGAAAAUGGGGAGUCGUGAAAACCUUUUGUUCUAUUCAUUGCUAAGAUGCUUUUCUCUAUAAAGAGACUUCCUAACGAAAAUACUUUGUAGAUUUCUUUACUCCAAGUGGUGCAUGAAAAAUUAAUAUUUUCAAUUAACAAAUAAAAUUCCCUUUUUUUGGUGUAGAUUUCAUCCAUCCAGCUGUUAACACAUUCUAUAAAUCCGAAUUGACUAAUCUUUUCAUUUCCAUUUUCCAACUUGCGAAUACGGCAUCUUAUAUAAUGUCUGCUAAACACUAUAUAUUCUCUGCCAAAUAUGAAUACAUAUCACUUUUCUGAGCAAGUGCAGAGUCAUUAUCAUUUUUAUUCCCACAUAACAAAUUAGUGGUUGAGCAUCUUUACAUGCUAUCAGGUCACAAGUUAAUAAUCUUUUAAAGAACAUGUUAAAUUAAUUUAUUGGUAUGAAUAGUCAAAGAAGUAUGUUAAAGUUAGCAAUCUUUAAAAUAAUAUGUUAAAAUCAUUAGUACAAAUUAGUCAGAGAAGUAGCAUAAACACCACGAUGCAAUUAAUACUUUCAAUCUCAAGGUCUCUCUUACGGAAAUUUGCAUCGGUCAACAUACACAAAGCAUAAUUGUAUGCACGUCUCUCUAUCAUGGAAUUUGCAUAGGUCAAUAUACACUUGGCAUAGUUGAUAGUUGUAUGCGCGUAGGCAUGGCCAUGGUUCCAUUUGGAACUGGGAAUCAGACCGAAACCGGAUCGUUUGGAACCAGAUCAGAACCGGAAUCAAAACCAUGAAACCAGAACCGUGAUAGAACCUUGGAUAAAGGUUCCGGUUCUGGUUCUCUAAAAAAUAGAACCAGAACCAGAACCGUUAAAAAUAAUUAAUAUAAGUGGUGAGAUAAUUCAAAAAAAAUUAGUUGUGUUUAAUAGGUUUUAAGAAAGUUUAAAUUUUAUGGACUUUCUAUAUAUUUUAUUAAUUAUUUAAUUCUUUCUAUUCAUCUAAUAUUUAUCAUUAUAAUUUGCAAGUAUUAAAUUAUUACUUAAAAUUUUUUUUUUUUUUUGCUUAUUUGCUAUCAAAUGACAAGUUUUGAUGGUAGUAGCUCAUCUUCAAAAUCAAGCAAGCAAAAAAAUAUUUUUUGCAAUAUUUCUUCAAAUGGAAUCUUCAACAUUGAUGAUUGUCCAACUCAAGAAAGUCAACAUAUGACAACCAUUUGAUAGUGUAAUGUAUUUUUUAAUUUGACAAUGUAAUGUACUUUUCAUAAAAUUUAUAUUAUCUAUUUAUUACUUCUUACUUUGUAGAAUAAUAAUAAAAUUAAAAUAUGAUCUUUAUUUUGUAUUUAUUUUUUUACGUUUUAUUUGAAAUUUUAAAUAUAUUGUUAUAUUCGUAUUAAAAUUGGUAAGGAUAAGGAAUUAAAUAAAAUUGUAUAUAACCAUACAGAACCGGAAACCGGAACCAGAACUAUAAGGAACCAAAAUCAGAACUAUGCGGUUCUGGUUCUACCUCUUUGAAGAACCAGAACCAGAACCAUUUUAUAUGGUGCGGUUCUGGUUCUACCUUUUUUAAGAACCAGAACCGGCGGUUCUAGAACCGUGGUCAUGCCUAUAUGCACGUCUUUUAUUUUAUUUUAUUUUAUUUUUUGGUACUGUUCUUCCUUGCUUUAUAGUAUGCACGUUUAUUUCUUUGGAUUGCUUAAGAUUAUAUUGUUAAUAAUAGGGCAUUUAACCAUAAAUUAUAAUAAUUAUGAAGUAAUAUAUAUUAGAAAAUUAACACAAUUAUGAUUUUUUUUUUUUGUAAAUUCAAAUUUUAUUAAUAAGAAAUGAAAUAGACCGUAAGCAAAAACAAAAUCCUACAACAACUCUAGGACUCUACACCUUAUAUAAAAAAAAACUAGGACUCUAUACCUCAGAGAAGCUAAACAAUCCAACAAAUAAAAUGCAAAAUAAAUCACAAUAACGCAAAUUAUGUUAAGCUAAUAAAUACUACCAUGCAACAAAAUUUUUGUCUUUGUCCCGCGUGAAACUACGAAGUCAAGAAUUGACUCCUUUAACCAGUAUUGCCAGCGGGGCUCCGUCAGCAAGAUACAACUUUGCAAUUUUAUACAAUAGAAAUCCUCAAAUAGCUAUUUUGACAGGCAAAUUAAGCAUUAAUUUUGGUAUCCCUUCAUAAAAUACAAGAGUACUUUUGAUUAUAUCUAUAGAUCAACUUUCUAGGCUUGAUGUAUUAUAAGAAAAAUCUGCCUAAACAUUUUGAUAGCAUUUUUCCAAAAGCAGAAGAUGGAAAAUUGCCCAUUUGUAAUGGGGAGUUCGUGAUCUUUUCCUCAUUCUAGUCUACUUACAAUUCUUGGAAAAAGGAAUACUCACAUCUCAAACAACAGCCAGCUCAUCUGCGCUGUCCUGCAGAAUUCUAGAAAGUUAGGUGGCAAUGUUAAUAACAUUUCAAAAUUGACUGCUGCGAUAACUAAUUCGAUGGCUUACUACAUGGUCAACGUUUGGAUCCCUUCCUGCCGGCACUGUCCUUUUUGGAUGCACAUUUUUUUUCUCUAGGUAAUAUAAUCACCCAACUCAUUUCUUUACAAAUGCACCUUUAAUCACCACCAAAAGGUGUGGACAUGAUCUUUACCCUAGAAAACUAUUCACCGACAGGCAAAUUGACGUCAGAAAUACUAAGAGGAAUUCUAGUUUCCUUCGGGUUAAUGCCAUUUUGUACCCUUCAACUGUAACUCGAUUUCUAAGCUGUAAUUUGUGACAUUAUAGUCCUUAAACUAUGAAACCCUUCUUACUUAAGUAUAAUGGUUAAUACAAUACUGGUGAUUAGACAAGUAUGAAGCAACCAUAACAAAAAAAAAUCCAAAAUUAGAGAAAAGAAAGAUGUUUCGCGACCAAAGUAUGUAUCAAGGCAUAGUAUAGAAAUAAAAGUGUCAAAAUUAAGAGUUUAGGGAUAAAAAAGAAUCAAGAUAUAGUUUAGGGAUUGAUUUGUCUCAAUUAGAGCUUAGGUGUCAACUAAGAAGAGAGAUAUAGUUGAAGGGUAGAAUAUAGAUAUAAAGGUUCAAUGAUUGAUAUCAGUGAGACAAUGAUAACUUUGGAUUAUUACCAACCUCUUCUGGAUGGGAAAAGGAAAUAGAGAAGAAAGUCGGGCCUGGUCUAAGCCUGUUUCGGAGGCAAAACAACAUUAUGAAAUCACCGGCAUUCAGACAAAUAUGUCAAAGUCACCGGCAUGCUAAGUUGCAAAAUUUAUACAAACACUUAAUAUUAUAUUGUUCUUAAAAUUUUUGUUUAAGAUUUAACAAUUAGAGCACGGUACACGAAUUAGAAAUAUUAAAUAAUGAAUGUUCACGAUUGAUAAAGUUAUCAAAGUACAGUUUGAGGACAACCCAUUCCAACGUGUACAAGAUGUUUAGCCUUUGAAAAGUUAAUUAGAGAAGGUGACGAGAUUUUACGAGGCUGACAUCAUCUAGGCCUCGAGAGUAAAAAAUGAAGACACUGAGCGCUAUAAAAAGAGGGCUAGAUGUUGCCUAGAAGCAUAUCAGCCUCAGACCACGUUUUGUAGCAAUGGGGAGCAAAGCAAAAGCAAUGGGGUCUAGGCUGACUCCUCUUCUUACCACCGUUUUAGUGGUAUUUCUUGCUCUUGGCUUGCCUUCAGAAACUGCAGCUGAUUACUACAAGUAUUCAUCUCCUCCUCCUCCUUACCAUUAUUCCUCACCACCACCUCCUAUGCAUUCACCCCCACCACCGCCAGUUUAUAAGUCACCCCCACCACCUUACCACUACUCCUCACCGCCACCUCCAGUGUAUUCAUUUCCACCACCUUUGCCAAUAUACAAGUCUCCGCCACCACCUUACCAUUAUUCCUCACCACCACCCCCAGUGCAUUCACCCCCACCACCACCAGUUUACAAGUCUCCCCCACCACCUUACCAGUAUUCCUCACCACCACCUCCGGUGCAUUCACCACCACCUCCUCCAGUUUACAAGUCCCCGCCACCACCUUACCAUUAUUCCUCACCACCACUUCCAGUGCAUUCACCUCCACCAUCACCGAUUUACAAGUCUCCACCACCACCUUACCAAUAUUCCUCACCACCACCUCCACUGCAUUCACCUCCACCACCACCGAUUUACAAGUCACCUCUACCGCCUCUUCCAGUUUACAAGUCUCCGCCACCACCUUACCACUAUUCCUCACCACCACCUCCGGUGCAUUCACCUCCACCACCACCGGUUUACAAGUCACCUCCACCACCUCCUCCAGUUUACAAGUCCCCGCCACCACCUUACCAUUAUUCCUCACCACCACCUCCGGUGCAUUCACCUCCACCACCACCGGUUUACAAGUCACCUCCACCACCACCUCCAGUUUACAAGUCCCCGCCACCACCUUACCAUUAUUCCUCACCACCAACUCCAGUGCAUUCACCCCCAUCACCACCAGUUUACAAGUCUCCGCCACCACCUUACCAUUAUUCCUCACCACCAUCUCCGGUAAAUUCACCUCCACCACCACCGGUUUACAAGUCACCUCCACCACCUCUUCCAAUUUACAAGUCCCCGCCACCACCUUACCACUAUUCCUCACCACCACCUCCAGUGCAUUCACCCCUACCACCACCUGAUAGGGUAUAAUUUGUUAGUAUUUUUAUUAUUAAUUUUCCCUUCUAUCCCUGACAAAUAUUGUGUUAAUUGCUGAUAUUUACUCAUAUUUGGUAUUUGGAAUCAAUUUCAGGAAUGAAGCAGAAAACUACCAAAAAGGAGGGACUUUGUGAAAAAUAUGGAGACUUCUAAGGGCUUCAAUCCUUGGGCCCUUGAAUUGGUGGGGGACCACAAGCUAGUGAAAGGCAUUUGGUCAUUUGGGCUUCAAAGAAAGCAACGUAGAGAGACUUGGAACAAGAAGUACUUGGGAGGCUUUGUCCACAUGUGUGGGGACCACCUAGAUAGCUUUUAGUCAUCUUUCUUUUGUUGCUUUAAAAGGGGACAACGUACAGAAGCAAAAGAUAUCUAGGGCUUUAGUUUUAGUUUUUAGUUUAGUUCUAGUUUUCUUUCUUUGGACUGGCCUCUGACACACGCCAGGUAUUCGACAAUAUUCCCCAACGGGGAGAUUUUCUCAUGAGGCGUGGUUAAGCUUUUCAAGGGGACACUGACGAUUUGGUUCAAUUUACUGUGAGAUCGAAUCUGUUUUAUUUUUUUCUUCAUUUUGGUUUUUAUAUGUUCCUUGAUUUUAAUUGCUAUGGCCUUGUGUAUGAUUGAUUAGUGCACAAUAAUUAAUUAUUCAUAUAGGCUAUUUUUGCUAAAUAGGGGUAAUUGAAUCCGUAAUUGUUCGUUAUCUCUACCUCAGUAGCAACUGGCGUAAUUGGGUUUAUGUCAGGGGAGCAUAUGAUCUAAUUUAAACAAACCCUCGUAGCGUAUUUGUUGGUUAGGAUUGGGCCUUUCUAAUUAUUAUGCAAUCUAGAAAUUAAAUCCUACGGUCGUACCUAGGGUUAUUUUUGGGUUAGAGAAAUAGCUAACGGUCGUACCUUAGCUAUCGAGAAAUUAAGGAAGGGUUGGUUGUUUAUCGCGUGCAUGACAACUAUAACUAAUCUAUUGCUAAAUGUUGGAAUUAUUUCUGCAUCAAUGAUCAGUGCCUGAACCAUUUCUGAAGUGUACCCUUGGCUAGAGUUUCUCUUAAUUAUUUCUUUUAAUCAAUUAUUUUCUGCACUUGAUUUAUUUAGUUAGCAUUUAAUCCAAGAACCUCCCAUACUCUGGACUCUAGAAGAAACGAAUUAUCCCCAAUCCCUGUGGAUUCGACCCUGCUCGCCGCUAUAUACAAAAUCUGUAUUUUUCUUGAGUAGGUAAUUAUUAUUGCACAGGUUCGGCACCUGUCACCACCAGUUUACAAGUCUCCGCCACCACCUUACCAUUAUUCCCCACUACCACCUCAAACGCAUUCACUCCCACCACCAGUUUACAAGUCACCGCCACCACGUUCUCCAGUAUACAAAUCACCUCCACCACCUCCUCUAGUUUACAAAUCUCCACCACCAUCAAUUGAUAAAUACAAGUCUCCUCCAGUGUACAAGUCAUCUCCACCACCUGCUUACAAGUCUCCACCUCCUUCAGUUUACAGUUCCCCACCACCACCAAUCUACAAGUCUCCACCUCCACCCUACCAUUACUACUACAAUUCUCCUUCUCCUCCUCCUCCUUCUCACUACUAAGCAGUUGUAUCCAAGUUUUUGAGGUAAUAACGCUUAACCAAUAAAUUAACUUUCGCAUGAUAAACCUUAUCCCUAUCAAGACAAACUGCCAUGUGUAUCAUGGCAAAUCCGUACACUUAGAUCCAUGAAAAUGAGUGGUAGAAGGUUUUCUUAAGAACCAAGGAACAGCAAUAGUAUUCCCACUGCUUCCAAAAACUUGUGUAUUAAAUAGAUUAACGAAUUGUUUAACAUGCUUAUCUACUUGAAAAUGCACAAUACCCAUAACCCAUUGAAAUUUUUGCAGGAAAAGGGGAAGAGAAUCUGUGUUUGAGAGCUUCAUGAAGAUGUUGAAGAAUAAGAAUAAAAGCCCAAUGCGAGGAUGUUUUCAAGUUUUUCUAUGUUUCCACUUUAAUUUGUAAAUUGAAUUUUGCGACUCAAUUAAUUCCCUGUUUGUGGGGUACAUAUUGUUUUACGUACCAUGCCGUACAUGUUUGUAAGGAUUUCUAUCCUAUUGGCAAAAGUCGGUUCCAUACAAUUAAUCAAUUCAUUUCACUUCUAUUGGCUCUACUAUUUAUGCAUGUUACGACAUUUUUUCUCUCUUUCCCUUAUAUUUUGCCUUUAAUAUUAUUGAGUCAAUAGUAAAAUUAUACUAUUAUAAAUAGGUAGUUUGGUCUAACGCUAAAUUCAUGUUUGUCUUUCUUUUAUUCCCUUUACAUCUCAAAGUAUACCAUAGUUUGUGAUCAUUGUGGUGAUGAUACACUACAACAAAAAUGGCCUUUCCUGACAUGUCUAUAAGGACACUUGCUGGUUUUUGUCAUUAUAGCACUUCUAUCAUGACAUUUGUUAUCAAUUCACUAAUUUAUACUUUUUUUUAUUUUAUCUGAUAUAAAAAUAAUAAUGUGUCUUUAGAUUUCCUAUCAUGGCAUUUUAGAAAAUGUGAGAUACAACGAAAAAAUUAAAACAUAAAACGAUGUCGUUUGAUUUUGACGGAAGAUUCAUUUGCCAAAACACUUAGUGAAAUCUCAAAACUUUCAUUGUGUCGAUUCUUCUCCUCUCUCUCACAAACCCUCUCUCUCGGCAGACUAUCUCUCAAAACUCCCCCAUUUUGGUUCUUUUGUCUUCCGCCUUCGCCGCCGCCCCACUCCUCCAUUUUCGGUUGCUAACUUGGCCGCUUCUCUGCCCUAUUCGGUCAACCACGACACCUACACCAAUAAGUCUUCGCUCUCUUUGCUAGGACAAAAGGAAUAAAAAAACAGAUACUCAUGUUCUUUCCUUUUUCUUCUUUCCUCUGAAACCGAUCCCCAUGCUUCUCCGUACUGACUAGAUAUUCAGGUUGAGCGUGUUGAGGAGUAGAGUAGGCGAAGGUUGCCGCCAUCGUCUCAUUGAAGUCCAGCCACUACAGCGGAAAUCAUCACUGUAAAGUUUCCCGUACUCUUAUACCUUUUUUCCCCCUUAAUUGUAUUGUUUUCUUCUUUGUCUGCAAUCAUGUCGGUUAUGCUUUACUUUCGUCUUGUUAAUCGAUUUUAAGUGGCUGGAAUUGAUCAUAGGUUUGAGUAGAGUUUUAGAUUUAAAAUUCAAGCUCAGGCCGUAUAAGGAACUGAUGAAAAAGAAAUUUCAAAACUUUUCAUCCUCACUACUUGUUUGUCGGAAGGUUCGAAUGAAGAAAGAAGGAAAUUUGCAAUGGAAGUGAACAGAGAGAGAUGAAAGUGAUUGGAGAGUGAAAUUUUGCCUUGGUGAACUUUUCUUUUGUUUUUGAUCAUCAAGUGCAAUAGAAAAGUACAUUUAGUACAAUUUCCUAACUAUCUUAGAGGAAAUCUUGUUUGGAACUUUCGCUGGAUGCUAUGCAACUUAUUUUUGAUGCUUUGGUCAUGAUUGUUGUUCUGUUUGCUACAGCCCCAUAAGAAGGUUUUUUUUUAAUUAUUAUUAAAAAUUACCGCAUAGCUUGGAUACUUUUGCAUUCCAUGCACCAUGUCAGCUAUUCAUAGCACAUAGCACUAAAGUAGAGCACUCUGUAAUUUUGGAGAUGUUUCAUCUACGCAUUCAAUUAUUUCGAGUUUUUAGUCCAAUGGGUAAUAAAUUGGUUGUACAUCACUUAUUAUGUUGCAUCCCAGUUAUAUUGACCUAGAACAAUUACCAUAUAGACAAAAAGAAGAUAUUAACUGCAGCAAAUUGAAGAAUAAAAAGAGUAUUUGUCAAAUCUUUUCUCCCAACAUCCCUCGUAAUUCUUUCCCCCAACCUCAACUUAGGCACACAUUGUGUCUCUCCUUUUCUUCUUCAAACUAAAUGUUCUUCUCAUGGACAAAUAAGAAUAAUUUGAAUUUAUGAGGAUACAGAGGAAGAGAAUGAAGAUGGAGAAGUUAAUUGUUAUAACUCCAGUUAUGAUAAAGUUGAAGAUGACUUUACAUAAGAUGGAUUAAGUGACUAGUGCUCUAUUGUAAGAUGCUGGGUGCAUAUCUUAAUUUCUUUGAAUUGACUUUAUAUCUCAAAAAAAAAAAAAAUUGAAGGGAUUCUAUAUUUAUUUGACUUGUGUGGUAUUUAUUUGUGUGACUGUCUUGUUUUUUGUCUGCUUUUAUGAUCUAGAGCAUUGAUUACUCUAUAUUUUUAGACAAGAAUAUAUUGUUUUUGUUGUAGAAUUUCUGUAGAAAAAAUACAGAUCUUGCACAUUAAACCCAAUGGGGACUGUUUGCACUAUAAUGCAUUAUGGGCAACUAACAAAUUGGGAUUUGCUAGCCAUUCAAUAUUUUGUAAAUCCUCUGCAGUGUAACAUACUGGAAAUUGCCUUUCAGUUACAGUCUCCAGCGAAGUGUCCUGAUUUAGUCUUUCAAGUUGGAAUGUGACUAAUAGUUUCUUAUCUUUUAAAAGUUUGCCAAUUUCAGGAGGAUUGGUUACAUAGUUUUUUAAGAUUUCUUUCCUCCAGUGGGCACUUAAAAAAAUAGUGAUUAUUGAGUGCUUUGAUCUGUUGAAAUUUAAUUGAAAAUUUUCCGAUCAUUAAUUGACACACUUCAAAAUACUAAUGACUACAUAUGUCAAAGCACAACCUAGGAAAUUAUAUCAGCACGUGCUCCGAUUGUAUGGUACUAAACUUGCAGUGCUUCCACAAAGAAUGUGAAGAGCACAUAUAUACUGAUCAUUGAAAAGAUAGAUUUCUAUUAUGAUUCUGCUAAUGUUUGAAGCACUAAAUGUGAAAUUGCUAUCUAUUUUGAAUGAGUAUCUGUUUCUAUGAAAACUUUGGACAAAUAUGCAUAUGACAAUAGUUUCUAAUGAAGUUACAAACGAUGCUGAACCUUUGGCAUUAUACCAAGAAGGUGUUAAUCAAGUUAACUGGUUACACUUCUAAGCCCUUGCCUGUGGGCAGAAUCUGAGCUAGCUUUAUUCAUUUGUAGCAAGAAGUAAUUUUGCAUGCCAAUGCCAUGCAUUGUUGACUAACCUGUCGCAUUCAGUGUUUGGACAGGUGGGAGUAUAUUGGCGGCACUUGGUUCCUUUCAGCAAAUUUGGUUUUCAAAAUCUGAGUAAGCUUUUACAUCUACUCUACCUUUCAAUAUUCAACUUUUCUUCUUUUUUUCUCCCCAUUUUCAGUCUGUUUUAUCUCUCGAUUAAUAGGUUUGAGGAACAUGGAACUUCUUAUGUUCAAAGAAAAUGCCCGUAAAGUACUUUACUGGUGCGGACAAUUAUCACAUUAGACAGAAAUUCAUGGAGCUGACUUCACUUUGAUUAGUUCGCUGACGGUAUGGGUUGCUCGGUUUUAAUAUCCUGCUUUAUAGGAGCCCAAGCAAUGUACUAUAUAUAUACUAUACCUCUCGCGGAUCGUUGCUAAUGUUGUACAAUUACGUUACCUGACUUUUAGCAUUUCUUUCAACUGGUUAGGGAUGAGAGUCUUUUUGUUUGUGCACAAGAAAGUCUUUCAAGUUAUUGUAAAUGAGAAUCUUUCGGUAAUUUUUUGGGAUUUUAGUACUUGCUUUGAGCAUUUGUUUGCGAUUUUAGUACUUGCUAUGUUUGUACUUGUUAUUGACUUUUAAUUCAAUGAAUUAUAUUUGAGUAUCGACUUCUUCUUUUAAAUUGCUAUAUGCAUUCUGCCUUUUGGGAUAAUUUUACAAGUCCCUUGGGAUUCUGGUUGAUGGAAUGUACAGCAGGGAGGACUAAUUACAGGUUGCUUCCAUAUGAAAAAAAAACAGGAAAAAACUCCUGGCAAUUAGAAGUGUCAGCAUAGCUUAGCUUCAAAAAACACUAAUGACAAAUGGGCAUGUCAUCCAAAGCAGUGUAAAUUCACAUGGCUACGUGUCCUUAAAGCCAUAUAUUAAGACAAUUCAAGAUGCCUUCAUAAAUUGGAUAUACUACUAAUCCGCUACUGAUGUUCUAAUGCUAUACGGACACUUUCGAUUAUCACAAAAAAAAGUUUUUGUUGGCAGAGGGAAUGCUAUAGCAGCAUGGUUUUCCUGACACAUUUGAAUGUUGCCAAAGAUUUGAGGCUAUCCCCACAUUGGAAGGGACAACACUCGCCCUAGGUGUGAGGAUAGAUAAAAUGUCAGGUUAGAUUAUCUAUACUGACACCUUUAAAUGCCGCUAAAGGCCAUUUUUGUUAUAGUGAUAUUACCGGCUGGUACAUAUAGUUUAAGGCAAAGACAUGAUAUUAACCUAUCUCAUUGAAACAUAAGGAAAAAUCAUGACAAGUGUGAGUCUUGGAUAAUGCACAAUUUGUAAGUGGAAUUUAUACUUAUAAAACUCAAAAAAAAAAUUUCACAAUGCUAUUACUAAUUAAUUAAGGACUUUAUUGCUAUAAUUUAUCGCUUACUAGUUUAAACUGUAAAUGAUCUCAAUAUUUUUCUCCGUGAUGUCGAUUUCUUUAGACUACGAAAGGGAAAAAUUAGUGACGUAUCCCCUACUUAGUUAUAAACUUUUCCAGUGGUUUUAAAUCCCUCGGGCUAAGGACGUACACUUGAUCCAUGAAAAUGACUAGUAGAAGAUUUUUUUUAAGAAUCAAAGAAAUGCAUUAUUUUUUCGGUCUGUUUUCAAGAAUUUGAGCAGUAUACAGAUUAAAGAGUGUUUUUUUUUAAACUUGCUUAUCAACAUAGAAAUGCACAUAGCUGAAAGCCAACUGAAUAUUUGCAGGCAAAGGAGAAGGCAAUCGGUGUUUGAGACCGUCAAGAAGAUGUAGAAGAAUAAGAAUAAAAGCCCAAUGCGAGGAUGAUUCCAAGUUUCUACGUUACUAUUUCUACAUCUAAAUUGACUUUAGCUCCUGAGUUCCAUGUUUAUGGGGUUUGUACCGUUUUACGUACCAUGCAGUACAUGCUUGUAAGGUUUUCUGUCCUGUUGGCAAGCCGCAAGUCCAUAUAAUAAAUGAAUACUAUUUAUAUUACGACACUUUUCUCUCUUUCUCUUAUAUUUUGUCUUUAAUAUUGUUGAUCAUUUUUUUUAUCAAAAGUAUCAAAUGCUUAGGUAAUUUGGUCUAAUGCUAAUUGUUUUACUUUUAUUUUUCACCUACAUCCCUUUUCAACUCAAAGGAUGCUACAGUUUGUGAUCAUUGUUUAAGACCGAAGCAUGGUACUAAUAAAUAUCUCAUUGAAAGUCAAGGAAACUAACAUUAUGAAAAGUGUAAAUCUUGAUUUGAUGAAACUAUUUAUUCGUGGAAUUUAGAGAUACAAAACUCAAAUUGUGACGGUGUUGCUGCUAAAUUAUUAAGGACAUUAUCACCAUUAUUUUUCCCUCACUAGUUUCAUCUGCAAUGAUCUCAAUCUUUUUGUAUUGAUCGGUUGUAAUGAAUCGCGAUUGAUUGGUUGUAAUCCGCUUGUAUUGAUCCCACUAUUGUGGAUACUUCUACGCUCAACAAAAAAUAUAUAUAUUAAAGAAUUAGCAAUAUUUUUUAGAACAAGUUAAAUUUAUUCAUACAAAUUAGACAAAGAAGUAUUUUAAAGACCAUGAUGAAAUUAAUACUUCCAAGGUCUCUAUUAGGAAGACUUCCUUGCCUUGAGUUGCAGUUGCGUGCAGAUGUUUAUAUUUCAAAUUGAUGGUAUAGUAAAAAUGUUGAAUUUCUUUAUCCCCGUGACUUCAAAAAUAUGAACUCAAGAAAUUAACUUCUUAACCAGUAUGUCAUACAAGCUUCACAAGAAAUGUAUAACUUUGCAACUAGAGUCAAUAGAAAUCGUCACAUAAUUAUUAAUUUUACAUCGAAAUUAAGCCUGUAUGACAUACUGGUUCGAGGUUUGGCCACGCUACCUUCCUAUUGUUUAAAAAUUCUCACAUAAUCCCUUGUACUUUGGACUAAACUCGAAUGUGAAAAGAAACCAUCCAAGCUAGUUUGGGAUACACUUGUUGCACUUUGAACUAAACUUGAACGUGAAAGGAAAUCCCAAAACCAUAUUGGGCAUGAAUUCACACUUAAUAGACCCAAAAAAAGAUGGCGACUGGUGAUGGAGGUGAAAGGCAGUGGGGACUGGUGGAGAGAUUUGAGGAAUAGAAGCAGACGAAAAAGCAACAAAUUUUUGCCAAAAAACGGUGACUUUCAUGGUUAAUAUUGCUACUCUCUAAUUGUACUUGACCAAUACAACAGUGAAAUUGUAAUUUAUGCUGAAGAUGGAGUUUGAUACGUGAAGAGAAUUUUUUAUAAAUUUUAUUUUGACCCAUAAUGUUAUCUUUAGAUACAAAAAAUAUUUUAAAAUUUUGAUUUUGGCCCGGUUAACUUUUGGUAAACAAAAAAUGCUCAUGCUUAGUGACAGGUUGUCGAUGCCUGUGCAAAAAUAAAAAUAAAUCUAGUUGCCAAUUAAAAUAAUCAGAGCCCAAUUCUGAGUACUGGAGCAGGGACUCUAGGUGUGCAAUGGGUUACUUGAUUCACUCUAUUUCCGAAGAGUUUGCUUAACCCGAUAUACCAGAAUGGGAUUGCUUAUUCAAAAGGAAUUGUUGAUUUGUAAACAGGGCAAGUAGGGUCGUAUUCUCAGGUGGGCUGGCGGUGCGCGGUCAAUCGACGGAGAAAGAGAGGAAAGGACGCGGGUGGAGGUUUUUGGGUUUUGGCCAAGAGAAGAGGGAACGCAGGGAAAGAGAGAGAGAGGGGCGGUGCUCGGGAAGGUGAGCGGCGGACGACGGCUAGGAGGGAAAAGGAGGAGCGGCGUGCGAAGUUAGAGAGGAGGAGGGAGGCGGCAUACGAAGGAAAAAGAAAUCAAGGAAGAAGAAAGAAAGAAAAGAGGAAGAAAGAAAAGAAGAAGGAAAAAAAAUAGUUUUUGGGUUUUUUUUCAAUUUUUUUUUAUUUUUUUGAAUUUAAAUGUCAAAUUUUGAAUUUUUGAAAAAAAAAACUGAAGGUUAAAAAGGAAAAUAAUUUUAUUUUGCUAAAAAAAAAUUUUUAUUUUUUUAUUUUUUUUUGUUUUGGAUCGUCAAACACAGCGUGGGCACGCCAAAAUUAUAAAACGUCCACUGAUCUUGGGAGUCACUGACACGGCGUGGGCACGCCAAGAUUUCACUUCCUGCCAACGUCGCGAGAUGUUGAAAUUGUACUAACAUGGCGUGGGCACGCCAAGAUUGGUAAACAUCCACUGGCCUUGGGAGUCACUUUUUGAGUGUCCUCCUCGCGUGGGCAUGCCAAGAUUCUAUGUCCUGGUCACAUUGGAGAAAAAUAUGAAAAUUGACUAGUACCCAAAUGAAAAACGACAAAUCGAAAGAAUUGAACAACAAAAAAUAAUAAAGCUAAUAUUUGGGUUGCCUCCCAAAAAGCGCCUUUUUUAACGUUUUUUGUUAGACGUUGAACACCACUCUUCAAUUUGGAUGUAAUUCAAUUUUCCUUGUAAUCGGUGGUCCUACUCCGGGUUCCAAAUAAUCAUUGAGUGCAGCCUUCUUUCUUUAUUUUCUAUUCAUUUUCACCUCAUAAAUUGCUUUCAUUCCCUGAUAUUUGUUCGCAAGAAUUUUGAAUUUACCCCUACAACCAAACUCAAAAAAUUCUUGCACAAAGGAAUUAGUAGCAUGAAUAGCAAACACAGAAUGAGAGUUAACAGUAUGUUUUAUUGUAUUAAAAAUAUUAAAAUGGACUAUUUCUCCAUCGAAUUCCAUUGUGAGAGUACCCUUACUAACAUCAAUCUUAGUUUGGAUAGUACUCAAGAAUGGCCUUCCUAAUCUAAUGGAUGAUGGAUUUGGGACACUUUCAUCAUCCAUAUAAAGCACAUAAAAAUCAGCAGAAAAAAUUAAUCCAUCUACUUGCACUAAAACAUUCUCAACUACCCUAUCUGAAUAAGUAAAUAUACGAUUAGCCAAUUAAAUUAUUAUCCCUAUUUCUUUUAAAGAUCCUAAAUUUAGGGAAUCAUAAAUUGAUUUAGGCAUCACAUUAAUAGAAACUCCUAAAUCUAGCAUGGCAUUUUUUAGAUUAGAAUGUCCAAUCUUACAUGGGAUAGUAAACAUACCUAGAUUCCCGUAUUUAGGUGGUAGUUUCCUUUGUAAAAUUGCUGAAAUGUUCUCAUCUACCACAAUAUGCUUGUCCUCCCUCAAUUUCUUCUUGUUGACACACAAGUUUUUCAAGCAUUUAGCGUAUUUUGGCACUUAUUUGAUCGCGUCCAACAAAGGAAUAUUGAUUGCCACCUUGCGAAAAAUGACGGAAUUUUUAUAUCAAUGCAAGUUUAAAUUCGAUUUUAUACCCGUUGACUGCAAGUAUACAGGCCGAAAUUGUAAUGUAGGGUAUGUAUCGGGUCGAUCCCACGAGGAGCAAAUUAAACAAGUACUAAGCCCUUAUUUUUCUCUAUUAUUUAGACUCACAAUAAAUUUGAACAGAGAAAGUAUAUUGCUAAAAUUUACAAAUUUGAUAUACAAAUAUAAUUUAACAAAUGCUAAAUGCAAAAGAAGAAAUUUCACUCAAGGAAGAAUUUAGGGAUGUAGAUUCCACUUAUGGCAUAAACAACACAAAUGAAUGGAUUUACCUCUUAUUAUUAUUCUUGUUUAACUAGGGAUUCAUUUCCAAAAUUAUCAAGUCUCAUUUUCAUGAUGAAAUGGCCUAGACCAAUAUAGUUUUCCCUAUUUUCAUGGUGAAAUACUACUACUACUCUGUUUUAUUUCAUGAAAUGCUGAAUAAUCCACCUAAGUGUAUCUCUAUUUUCAUGAACAUACAACUUAAGCUCUACUCAUUUAUUUCCAUUGUUACUACCAAUUCUCAUUGAAUAAUAACAACUAUAAACAUACUAUUGGUGAUCAAUCAAUAACAAGUAAUCACAACUACACAAGUAAACAAGUUAAUACAAAAUAUAACAAGUGUAAAUCACAUUCAAGUCAUAUUAUUUAGCCAUAAGUUUCAUCUACUUCCUAGAUAAAGAAAAUUAGCUACUCAUGAAUGAUUUAACAAUCAAACUCACAAGUUUAUUAAUGCAAAAUAUCAUAAAGUACAAGUACAAGAAAGAUAAAAGAAAUCUUAGCCAAUUGAUGGUGAAUCCCUCCAAUUUCUGCUAUGUUCUUGUACAAGAUGAUUACAACUGAAAACUCCAAAUGCUUCUCUAAGGACUCCUAGCUAGAGAGAAAAUGUUACAAGAAGGAAAAACUAGCUACGUAUGGUCCUGUCCUGCUUCUCCCCUGUGUUUUUGCAUAAAAGGUAGUAGAAAGUCUAUUUUCCUCUUCAUAAUUUCCUCCAUUCAGAUUUUGUAAAAAGAAGUCAAAGAUAUGAUGUUUCCUUUUUUCUACAACUCAUUUGGUCUUCUCUUUUGUUGCAGAAGCAUGUGCCACCGAUUUCUAUCCCUCAAAAUAGUUGAAAAAAUUGUGAGAAAGGUAAAGAAAAACAGCUGUGUCACUUGCUGAGCAGAGAGACAAAUCCGAGCCUCGGAUCCGGGGGUGAAACUGGAUCCGAGGACUUCCCAAGGUGGAUCCGAGGUCGGAUCGUUCUGACCUUGGAUACACUCCUCCAAAAGUACAUACGAGGGCUCGGAUCCCUCUUGUUCACACGGAUCCGAGCUCGAAUCCGUGUUGAUUAAAUUUUCAGUUUUUCACUUCUUUCCUUUUUCUACAUUUUUGCUCCCAAUUUCUUUUGUACUUUGUCCUCUGGAUGAUCCUUGCAUUUCUUUCAACUUCGUGCACGAAUUUCAUACAUCAAUAACCUUCACAAUUUCACAAAAUUAACUCAUUAAUCCACUCAUUUAUCAAGUUUUGAACACUUAAACAAUAUUUUAAGUAAUUAUCACUAAAAGAGUUCAAAUAUGGCUUUAAUCUUCUCAAAACAUGCCAAAGAUUCAUGCCAAAUCUGUACAAAAUGUACGUUAAAUAUUCACUUAUCAAAAAACCUCUAAAAUCUCCUUUUCUUUAUCUUGCUUCUUUGAUUUCUCUAACCUGCUCGGAAAAGGCGGUAAGUUAGUUCCAACUCUAAUUAUAGAAUCAGGAAUUAUCUUUGGAUUCGCAUUUCUCAUUCCUUCCUCCUCAAGCUCUUUGUCAAUUCAAUCUUCAUUUUUAUCUUUCGGAAUCACAAGUUCGGAUCUCUGAAUUUUCUUCCCGUUCCUUAAGAUCAUUGCACUUACAUUUUUCAGGUUCAGUUCAGGUUGAGACGGUAAUUUUUCAUAAACUUGGGAUUCCAGGCGGUUGAUUGCUAUUGCCAUCUAACUCAUCUGAUUCUGCAUUACUUGCAUCUGUCCCAAUUGAUUUUUCAUACUUUGUAGGUCAGAAUCCAUUUUUUGUUGAUUAGCAAUUAAUUGCUUCAUCAUCUCUUCUAUAGACAGACUUGAGUUUGAAGGAGGUGGUGGCGGGCGAGACUGAUACUGUUAUUGAUACCCUUGCUGUCUAUUUGGUGUAAAAUCUGGCUGCCUAUUUCCUCCAUAGUUGAGGUUGGAAUGAUCUCUCCAACCAGGAUUGUAUGUAUUCGUGUACGGGUCGUAUGGCUUUCUUAGCACGGGCGCGUAACCAGCCAUGUUCACUUGCUCCGUACUUUUCUCUUGAAUCAUUGAGCACAUCUCUGUAGAAUGACCCAUAGCAGUGCAGAUCCCACACAAUUUGGCUCGUGAUGUAUUUCCUAUAGCUAAUUGCCUAACAAAGGAUGUUAAUUCGGUCAACUGCUAUUGGAUGGAAUAUGUCUCUACCUCAUUUACUUUGCGUGUCGGGACAUCUUCCCUCGUAUCAAACUGUUACGAAUUCUCCGUCAUUCCUUCAAUUAGCUCCUACGCUUCUCAAGAAAUUUUGUUCACCAAUGCCCCUUCACUUGCAGCAUCAAUUAUACUCCUGUCUCUAAAAAACAGCCCCUCGUAAAAAUAUUGGAUGAGCAAUUACUCACUUAUUUGGUGUUGAGGGAACUUGAUGCAUAACUUCUUGAAUCACUCCCAAUAAUCAUAAAGCGACUCUUCUAGAUACUGCUUGAUACCGCAUAUCUCCUUCCUUAGGCUUGCAGCUCGAGACGCAAGAAAAUAUUUGUUCAAAAACUUUUUCUUCAACUGAUCCCACGUGGUGAUGCUACUUGGUGGUAAGUAGUACAGUCAGUCUUUUGCGGAGUCCUUCAAGGAGAAGCAGAAUGCUCUCAUUUUUAUCUGUUCUUCUGUAAUUUCCGGAGGUUUCAUACUGUUGCAAACGACAUCAAACUCUUGCAAAUACUUAUACGGUUCCUCACCUGCUAAAUCAUAAAAAGAUGACAAGAGAUGAAUUAGACCAGAUUUUAACUCAAAUGGAGUGGUUAUCAUUUAAAUAUGGAAAAGUAAUACAUAAGGGCUGCUGUUUUAAAUCAGGAGCAGCAAACUCCCUUAGUAUCCGUGCAUUAGCCAUAGUGACUUCUUCUCGAUCCGAGUCACUAGAAGUAUCACUAUGUGAAUCUGUUAGUUCAACUUCUGGCUUAGGUCUUUGAGAUGAAGCACUGGAGUGCUCUUCUCUAAGUUGUCCGGUCUCUUUCCUUAUUUUAUGCGCAGUCUUCUCUACCUCGGGGUCAAAAAUUAAUUCACCUGUAUGAGAAGAAUGAGGCAUAUACUAGGAAAGCACUAGAAAAUUAGAACAAAAAUGAACCUAAAAAGAAACAAAUAAACCAACACCAGUCCCUGACAACGGCGCUAAAAAUUGACAGGUUAUCGAUGCCUGUGCAAUAAUAAAAAUAAACCUAGUUGCCAAUUAAAAUAAUCAGAGCCCAAUUCUGAGUACUGGAGCAGGGACUAUAGGUGUGUAAUGGGUUACUUGAUUCACCCUAUUCCCGAAGAGUUUGCUUAACCCGAUAUACCAGAAUGAGAUUGCUUAUUCAAAAUGAAUUGUUGAUUUGUAAACAGGGCAAGUAGGGUCGUAUCCUCAGGGAUUGGAAAAAAUUUGUUUCUUUUCAAAUCCACAGUAACAAGGAGGUGUUUUUGUAUAAACGAUAACAAUCUAAGGAGUGCAAAUAGAAAUAAAUAGAUAACUAGAAAUUAAAUGACAAUUCACUAAAAUUAGAAUAAUAAUAAUUAAAGGUCUAGCCAAGAAAUAAUUUCAGCAAUGGUUCACCUAAUUGAUCAUCGACGCAAAGGCAAUUCCAAUUAUUUACUAAUAAAUAGAUUAUAACUGUCAAACAAGUGAUGAUAGUCAACCCCUCCUUACUGUAUCAGUGAUUAAGGUAUGUCCGUUAAUCACUGCUAUAAUUGAGAAAUAAUCUUAGGUACGUCCGUAAGAUUUAAUUCCCCAAUUGCCUUACGUAUUAGAGGAGCCCUAUUCUAACCAAAUAACGCACUAUCAGGAUUAUUUUAAAUUAGCCCAUGUAUUCCCUUGAUACAAACCCAAUCAUGCCAGUUGUCACUAUUUCAAGGCAAUGAAACAAUUACGGAUUUAAUGCCCUAAUUGACUAUAGGUUACUAAAUCAAUUCACUAUCUCGAUCCAAGAUAAUCAAUCAAUUUAACAACUAAUAGCACUGCAAUCGGAGAAUAUGUAAAUACCAAUAAAUAAGAGGAAAAGAUAAAAUUAAAUCGAUCUCACAAUUUUUAGACAAACCAAAGCAUCAGUUAUUUCUUGACUAGAAAAGAAAAUUUAGUUCAUUCCUAAUGCGAAAGACCCACGCGAGAAUUCAAAAAUAAUAUUCACGGACAUCGUCUUGAUCCAGUAGAUUCAAUUGCGUUGGAAUAAGGAUAAAAAACCAAACUACAGAGAGUGAUUCAUUGUUUUGUUUCGUCUGCACUUUUUCUACACAUACGGAAGAAGAAAAACAACUAAAGGAUGAAAAAAGAAAAGUCAAAGAAAGCCACCCAAAGUAGUGCUUGGUCUCUACCAUCCUAUUUCCUAUCUAAUUACUACUUCCCUUCUGCGGCUGCCUAGAGGAAGAAAGAAAAGGAGACUCCAGGUCUUGUUCCAUCUCCUCCCUUUUCGGCAAUUCCCCAAAAGUAGAAAAGUUCCUCCGUUUACCAAAAUGCCCCUGGAAUGAGGACCGCUACUUGAACUCAUUUCCUGAUGACUGUCAAAUUGACACUUGUUAUGGUAUUUGCGUUCCACUCCCUGUAAUAAAUGCAAAUUGUCAAAAGUGAGUAAAAUUUGACAAUUAAUUUAAAUCGGGUCAGGUAAUAGGGGAAAUUAAUUAUAAAAUAAAUGAUAAAAUUGUAACCUAUCACUUAGAAUAACUAGAAAUAAAACAAAACAAGAAAUGAAAGAAAUAAGAGGGGUAGCAUAGACAUUUUGGAUUUUUCUGUUAAUUUGGAUGAUUUCCACCCACGGUCUAAUUUAAUCCAAAACACAAAUGGAUUAUGUGGAGGUUUUUAAACAAUGAGGGAGUAUCAUGAUCGAAUUCUAAAACACAAAGGGGAUUUACUAUAUUUUACUCUUAAAUUUUGGUUUCAUCUCAUAGCAUACAAGAGUACUAUUUCACUGUCUGUCGACAAAGAUUUUCUAUGGUUGAUGUACCAUAGGAAAAAUCUGCCUAUACCAUCAUUUGGAAAAAUUAUCAAUCCAAACAUAGCCACCAUAGCAUUUUUUCAAAAACACAAGAUGGAAAAUUGUCCCCUUAAACGUUGAAAUUCAUGAUCUUUCCUCGACCUAGUCUACUUGUCAAUUCUUGAAAAAAGAAUAGUCACGCCUAAAACACGGCCUCUUCAUCUGCAGAAUUCUAAAAAGUUAGGUAAACUCUAUAAACAAGUUGAUAGGUACAAUCGUACCCAAGAUCAAGUACAGGUAUUUGUACAUUCACUGCUGCAAUAACUAAUCUGAUGACUUACAAACACAUCAUGGUCAAUCGUUGAAUGGUAAUGAGUCUUUUGUUAUGCAUUAGUAUUAGUGUGUACACUCUAAUAGAUUGAUACUUAUACACUUUAAAUUAUCAUAAUAAUACCCUUAAUUAACUUUAACUCUUAAAAAGAAUACGUGUUAAUACACGAGAGUGUGUAAUAGAACGGCAAGCAUUAUGGUGGUCAUUGAGCAACUUAUAGGAGAAAUAGUCCUAUAAGCUGUUCAAUGACCAAUCACAACUUGCUAAUUGGAUGACUAAUAUAGCUCUAGCUGUAAUGUUUUAAUUAAAUUCCAUCACUAACGUUGGGAUGACUUUUUAACCAAAAAAAAAAGCCUUAGUUCAAGCUCUUCCCUUUAUUGUGCAUUUUUUAAAACAUUUGAUAGGCACUGCAAAUCUGUCAUUUUGGACAUUUUAUUAUUAACUAACCAUGAAAGCCGUGGACAUCAACCCAUAUCCAACAGAAUAUUAAAUUAAUAUUAGAAAAAAUUAUUAAGUAAUUGGAAAAAAAAAAGAAGAGACUAAUUUUCAUUGAAACCCACCGACAAACUAUACGUGUCCAUAGCUUUUGAUUAGUGCAUUCAACGUUUAAUUGUAUAGUCCAGUUCAUAGCCGAUUACAUGGAGUAAAGAUUGUGCUCUUUCCUUUUUCACCCCUUUUGGAAUCGAUACUGUGGAGAAUUGGGUUUUUCCCUCCUUUUUUUCUUUUCUUUCCUUCUGUGCUUUGCAAAACAUAGGUAAAAAUAUGAAAUCCGAAGCAUUCUUUAAUUGGGAUUAAGUAUUGUUCUUGAAAUUAAAAAGAAGAAAGAAAGAACAACAAAAAUCCCAAUCUGGGUUGAUUGUUGAGCUCUAGUUUGGCGGCAUCGUGCUUCCAUAGAAGUUCUCUUAGUGUGAUACGCUGCUUUCAAUCAGUUUAACACGGGAAAAAGAAAAGACAUGAAAAGCAAAUUUUGUGGGGAUAAUUUCAGAAAUCUCUCCUGAAGUUUUUUACUAUUUUACUGGCCUCCUUUCAAAUUUUAAAAAUUACACUAGUCUUCCUUGAGAUUAUUUAUCUUGUAACAUUUAGGUCCAAUCAAUAAUUAAAAGAUGAUAUUAUGAGAGAGAAAAAAAUAUGAUUUUAUCAUUGCCCCCAUCUUACUACAUUAUUGAAUUAAUUUAAUAGCAACCCACACAUUAAAGAAAAAUACUAAUAUUUGCUGUUUUUCAUUGAAGAUCAAAUCACAUGUGCCAUAAAAUAUAGUAUAUCAUUUUAUAUAUUUCACUUAAUGUAAGAUCCAAAUUAUUCUUUUCAAUUACAAAUCCAUUGUUAUUAUAAAAAAAAAAAUAAACUUUAACAUCAUAAAUAUUCUUAUCAAAAUAUUAAAGUUAGUUACUAAAAUUUUUAUGGUGUUAAAGUUCACUCUUUGUAAUAUUUAUGGGUUUGUAAUUGAAAAGAAUAAUUUGGAUCUUACAUUAAGUGAAAUAUAUAGAAUGAUAUACUAUUUUUUAUGGCAUAUGUGAUUCAAUCCUUGAUGAUAAAAAGCAAAUUCAAGUGUUUUCUUUAAUGUUUGUGCUGAUAUUAGAUUAAUUAAAUAAUUUAGUAGAUGAAAGAAAAUAGUGAAAUCAUAUUAUUUUUUCUUUCCUAAUAUCACUUUUUAAUUAUUGGUUGAACUUAGAUAUUACAAAAUAAUAAAUCUCAAGGGAGAUUAGUAUAAUUUUCAAAAUUUGGAGAGAAGCUAAUGAAAUAAUCAAAAACCUUAAGGGAGGUUUACAGAAUUAUCCCAAUUAUGUGGGAAUUAGAAUAAUUGUACUGGACGGCACUGCUGCAAUAGAGGGAAAGAGGAGAAGGUGCAGUUAACUUUUGUUGUUUGAAAUCCUUGGCGAAAUAUUACAGAAAGACAGAUAAAACGGUGGUUAGUACAUAAAUGUUUAUGACAGGGAAAAUGGUACGUCUGUUAAUCACAUUUGAAACAUUUUCAUUGGUGAAUGACCAAAAGUAUCAGGCUUGUCCAAUAGUUGAUCAUUGACCAAGAUAAAACCUGCCAUGGUAGAGCCGUAGAGGUACGAUCUUUUCGUACCUCUUAGUGCACAGGACAUUCCUUUGUUUCAUCUAGCUAAUAAUCUACCAACUCAUUUCUUCACAAAUGCACCUUUUAUGGUCACGUCUACGAAAGCCUUUACAGGAUCUUUACCCUAAAAAUCAAUUCACCGACUCCCAUUUGAUGUCAGAAAUUCUUCUACUUUACUCCAAGAUUGACUGUUAAUAAUAAUGAGACAAUGACCACUUUGAAUUAGGGGUGCGCAAAAUUAUCUGCUAAUCCGAAAAUCCGUCAUAUUCGAUCUGAUCCGAUCCAAAAAUUAGGAUAUUUGAUUUUUAUUAUUUGAUCGGAUCAAAAGAGGGUCGGGUAUCCGCUAAGAUACGGGGCGAGUUAGAGUCACAUAAUUAAAAAUUCGCGGGUAUCCGAUCCGCCCCGCAUAUAUAUAUUUUUUAUUUUUAUACACACUAUAAAAUAAUAAGUUAGAACCAAAUAAGUAAUUUUAUUGAACAAAUUGCAUUACAAAUAUGAGAGACUAUAGUUUAUUUACAAGAUUCAUUUGUAAAGGUCAUGAUCUUAUAUUUUAUAGAAAAAAGUUUAAUUAAUGUGGAACAUAUAUAUUAAAAAUUGUGCUACUUAUUUCAAACUUUUAUUGAUUUUGAUUUCUUUUAAUUUUUUUCCUUUAUCUUAUAUUCUCUUCAUAUGCUUGUUUCUUGGUGGGAAACCUUUUUUUAGAAAAAAAAAAUUAUUAAAUCUUAGAUGAAUGUGUAAAAUAUAAAAUUAAAUUAGUAUAAAUCAUUUUUUUAAAAAAAUUAAAUGAUAAACGGGACGGAACGGGUACCCGCUGAUCCGACCCUAUCUUAUCGGGUACCCGCUGAUAUGCGGGGCAGGUAAAAAUCAGAAAAUGACUGACCUGUAAGGUGCAGGUCGAAUCAAUCAAAUGGUGAAUGGGACGGGUAUACGACCCGCGCCAACACCUACUUUGAAUUAUCACACCAUCCUUCUUGAUAGGAUUGGUACUAGAGGUAGGGAGGGGAGUCGGCUGCAUCCGGUCUUCUUUUCAUAGAUGUCAUUCACGCAAUAUUAUAUUUCGAAGUCAUUGCAUGGCUAAGCUGCAAAAAAGUACGAACACUUGUUAUUAUAUAGCUUAAGAUUCAAAACGUUAGAGCAUAACCCUCCACCUAACACAAUUGAAUAAUGAAUAUUCACGAUUGUCAAAUCUGUCAAAGCACAGUUUGAGGACAACCCAUUCCAACCUGCAAAAGAUUUUUUACUUUUCUAAAGUUGUUGAGAGCUGUAAAAAGACUUACCAUGCUUACAUCUUCCGAGCCUUGGGAGUUAAAAAUGAAGGCACUGAGUGCUAUAAAAAGGGGGCUAGAGGCUGCCUAGAAGCAUAUCAGCCUAAAACAAGAAUUUGUAGUUAUGAUGGGAAGCAAAGCAAAAGCAAUGGGGUCUGGGCUGACUCCUCUUCUUACCACUCUUUUAGUGGUAUUUGUUGCUCUUGGCUUGCCCUCAGAAACUGCAGCUGAUGAUCACUACAAGUAUUCAUCUCCUCCUCCUCCUUACCACUAUCCCUCACCACCACCUCCAGAGCAUUUACCUCCACCAGUGUACAAAUACAAGUCCCCACCACCACCUCAUCAUGUUUACAAGUACAAAUCUCCACCACCCCCACCACCACACCCAGUUUACAAGUAUAAGUCGCCACCACCACCUCCUCAUCCGGUACCACACCCAGUUUACAAGUAUAAGUCACCACCACCACCUCCUCAUCCGGUACCACACCCAGUUUACAAGUAUAAGUCACCACCACCACCUCCUCAUCCGGUAUACAAGUAUAAGUCUCCUCCGCCACACCACACCCAGUUUACAAGUAUAAGUCACCACCACCACCUCCUCAUCCGGUACCACACCCAGUUUACAAGUAUAAGUCACCACCACCACCUCCUCAUCCGGUAUACAAGUAUAAGUCUCCUCCGCCACCACCACACCCAGUUUACAAGUAUAAGUCACCACCACCACCUCCUCAUCCGGUACCACACCCAGUUUACAAGUACAAGUCACCACCACCUCCUCCCCCAGUUUACAAAUACAAGUCUCCACCACCACCAGUUUACCACUACAAGUCACCACCACCUCCUCCCCCAGUUUACAAAUACAAGUCUCCACCACCUCCUCACCACUACUAAGCAAUUGCUUCUGAGGUAAUAACACUUGUUCAAUAUACCCACUUCUGCAUGAUAAAACAUAUCUCUAUCAACACAAACUGUCAUGUCUAUCAUGCUAAGUGCCUUCACUUCAUCCACCAAAAUGACUGCUAGAAAAUUUUUUUUAUGUUACCAAAGAAAGGCAUCAUUUUUUCCCUCUGUUAUCAAGAACUUGUACAGUAUAUAGAUUAAAGAGUUUUUUUUUAACUAGCUUAUCAACUUAGAAAUGCAUAUAGCUGAUAGCCAGCUGAAUAUUUGCAGGCACAGGAGAAGGAAACCAGUGUUUGAGACCUUCUUGAAGAUGUAGAAGCAUAAGAAUAAAAGC
rnacentral:lncRNA from 1 species